UUUAGUUGGUGCGUGAAAAAUAUUUUUUAAAAAAUAUUUUAUGGUGGUUGAUUGAUGACAUUUCGUAGACCUUGCUACAUAUUACAGAAUUAGAGGCAUGUUGUGAUGGCUUAUUCAGAUCAUGCCAAGAUUUUCUUGCUCCUAAAGUCAGUAAAAUUUUAUAGAAAGAGUGUCAAGAAAUGCGUCACUUCCCCAUACAGCGAUACAUCCCAUCUUCUAUGGAUGGCAAAACCAUGACCUUCUUCCUCCUCUCUCCCACAUCUCUCCUCCACCACCCUCAAAACCUAAACCUUAGCAGACCCCUACCCAGUAAACCUUCAAUCACUCUCUGCGCAACCCAUCUCCCCCACCCCCAAAAUCCGCGAAAGCAGUAAAAUCAACACCAUUUAGGGGGCAAGACUUCAAAAUUUUCAAAUUUAUCAUCAUAACUCUGGAAAAGUGAGAGAUUCAGAUUUGAAAUUUAAAUCCAUCUCAAUUCUUGCAUUUCUUAUUCGAUUUUGGUUUCAAAUCCGGACUUUCAAGUCCGAAUUUGGCCUAUAAAAAGGGUGUUCAUCGACCCAGAGGAGGGGGGUGGGGUGGGGGGGAGGAAGCAAAAAAGAAAAAUCCAAAAAGGGUCAAAAUCAGUCAAUGCCGAGAGGUGAAAACAAAAGGGGUCUCAAAAUUUUUAGUUUCUUUCUGAUUCUGGUCCAAGUUCGGAGUUUCGUAAUUUGAGUUUCUAGUCGCCGGAAGAUCCCUGACGUUGAGGCCUCAGUUGCUGCACCACAUAAAGUGUGAAUCCCCCCUUUAUUUUCGUUCUUCAUCUUUUUCUAUUUUUUCAAUCUCGACAGGUUUAUGUAUAUGUGAUUUUGGUUAUGUCUAUGAAUUUUGUUGUGAGCGUUUUGUUAUCUUAAAGGAUAAAGAUGGUGUUAGUUCUAAAAAAUAGGUUUGUAGGCAUGUUCCGGUCAAAGUUUAAAAAUUGUUAAUCGAUUUUGAAAAUUGGGUUCGUAUGUGAGCAUUGAUCAAGCUUACUCAGUUGUUGUUGCUUAUGAAAAAUGGAUGUCGGUGAAUGUGUGAUCUUUGACUGCAAUUUGGUUAUGGUGGUAGUGUUAUCUAAUUAUUAUAAAUUGAUUUUGGGUUUGGUUUCAUCAUAUCGUGGAAAGUGAGCUAUUUGAAAAUAUGACAAAAUAUGUUCUCCCUUAAAGCUAUACACGAUAAGUGAUGAUUUUCUUUUGCUUUGUCUUCCUUUCCAUGGACUGAAAUAUUGGUGUAUUUUGAAGAGUAUUGUUUUGCCUUUAAUGAAAAGGAUAAAAUUAUGUUGUUUUAAAACCUCUUCUCUUUCAUCCGAUGUUGGUUCUGCGGAUACGAAUUUUUUUUUUUUUAGCCUUAAAUCUUUGCUAUUAUUGCUUUUCGUAGACUUUGCAGACAAAAAAAAAAAUUCUAACGGUGUGAUGUUGUUUCAUGCGUGACUAUGUAACUCUGCAAGAGUAUGGAUGGGUCAUCUAUUUGGAUUUUGAGCUUGAUUAUAGCAUGGUCAAUAGAUGGGAUUCACGAAUAUGAUUUAGUUUGAAGUCUACAUUUCUUAAUGUGCGAAUCUCUCCUUUUGUUUUCAUCAAUUUCCUCUCAUCUCGUUUUAAGUUCCAUGGACGUAUGAUUUUUGCUUUGAUCAACUCACGCAUUGUUAUUAUGGUGCUGAAAGAUGAUUUUGUAUGUGAAUGUCUGCGUAAGUGAGCCACUUCCCCCCUUCUUCUCCAUUUUUUGCUACUCGUUUGAAUCCCGAAGCGAGUUCGAGUUUGAUUUUGUUUCGGACAUGCGGUUGUUGAAAAUGGAUUUGCCGGGGUGUCAAGCCCGUAUUGGAAUUGUUGCUCGUUUUCUAGUGAAGUUUAGUUCCGAGUAUGAUUUCUUUUAAACUUUGGGGCUGCUUUAAAUCUAAGUGUGAGUUAUCAGUCUUACUGGGCGAUUGGCCAUAAAAUUGUGGUUAUAAUAGAUUUGUUUUCAAGAUAAAAAAUGAUAUUUGAAAAUUAAAGUUAUAUUUAUUGUGAAUCUGGUAAGAUAAUCUGAAUCGUUCUCUUGAAUUUUGUGACUAAUUUGGAGUUGAAAAAUGAAAAUAACUCUUGGUGUUCUCCAAAUUCCUAAUUCCAGAAGUUUAUGCCCAAAUGUUUUUGGUGUUGAGUAAAAUGUCAUGGCCAUGUUUCAAAAUUCGGAAAGUGAUUUUAUGUACCACUUGAGCCGAGGGUCUUUCGAGAAAAACCUCUUUAUCUUUUCGAAGUACUAGAAACUUUAAACGGAUGAGUCUUUGGGAUAUCCUUCUCUUUCCUCAUUGGGUGCUUGUAUUGUUAGAAAUUCGCACUUGAGUUUCGCUUACUGUCUAAACCAACAUAUUUUUGAGUGAUUUUGGAGGAAGAUUGAAUCUUGGUUCAUUUUUUGGAACCUUGAAUAAUUGAAUGUAGUUGCCGCAAGUAUUGUAAAGUGAAUUGUUGUUUAUGCAAAUUUUACCGCAUCUUAGAAGUCAUCUUGAUUUACUACUUGAAAGAUUAUUUGUAGCUGAUUUUUAAGGUCUUCAUGAUAAAAUAAUACUAGCAUUGUGAUAAAUUAGAAAGUGUAGGUGGAUGUGAAGUUACUGGUGCAUUCCUUAACGUCAAACUAGUGCAUUACUUUGGAUAAUUGUGUCUUCUCUUCUUAAGAAUAAAUACUUGCGCGAUUAUUUUGGCUUGGGAUAACUGGUUGUUUCCGGUUGUAAACCGAGGUCAAAAGUUAGUCAAUUGUGAUUCCAGGAAAUUGUUGGUUGCGUUCUCGGUAUUGUCCUUAUAUUUUAUGUGAGUCUUCAUCUUUUCUUGACUUUUUCUAAGCUUCGGUGUGCGCCUGUAAUGUGUAUUUGAAUAAGUGUACGGUUGCUUUUGAUCCCACCUCAAUGUUAAUGUUGGUUCCCUGCCAAGUUCUGCUGUUGUUACUUAGUCUUGACCCCGAGUUAUCAUCGCUAUGUGGUCGUUUUGUGUUUACAGUAGGUGAGCUAUUUUCCCCUUUCCCAUCUUCUCCACGAUUACGUUUUUGCCUAUCCAAGUUGGGUUCAAUUUAGAUUUUUCAGAUCUACUUAUAAGGCUAUCAUAGGAUCACAUUUUGUUUUCCUCAUUCUCAUUUUUCUUUGCAUGCGCACGAACAUACAUCUAUGGUCAUGUUUCCUCCAGUUUUGGUUAAUAAAUAUAUUCAAUAAUUUCACCCUUGAUUUAUUAAAAGAAGUUGUUUGAAAUUCAUCUAUUGUUUGACUUCAGAACAAAACAUAUUUUUCAAUUCAUGUUACGAGCUACCAGCUGUGAAGUGUUUUCAAUAAUGUUUGGCCUAUAUCUAAUAUUUCCUAAAUGAUGUCUCGUAUAUUCUUUGUGACCCUAAGAAAUUGUCAUAUGGUUAUCCUUCAGUCACUUUUACAUGACUUAUAAUGUUAAAAUAUGCUUCUAAUUACAUGUGAACCCCGGGAGUUGAAAUUUCAUUAGAACUCCAUUUCGACCCAAACAUCAGAUCAAUCGCAACUAGGAUCGCAGUGCUCGGAAUUUCGCAAAUUAGGAGCUCAAAUCCCUAAAUGGAGUCUCAUAUUCUUUACCCUCUUGUUUAACCUUUAUUUAUCAUGUUGAGUGUUUUGAUAACAAACCCUCUUGUUAUUGAAUUUGUUUAAGGUAAUUCUAUUUGAUUAUUGAAUUUAUGUUAUCUUUUUAUUCGUCGAUCCUUUAGAAGUAGUACUAACAUCCUUUAUGUUUAUUUUUUUUGCCUAAAAGGGGCAUCUAGCAAUCUUGAUAUUCGACUAACUUCUUAUAACUAGUUAUUCGUCUCAAAAAAUAUUUCUAUAGAAUGGACAAUGUCGCAAUCUCAAUUUCUUUUAACAAAAGAAAAUUUUAAUAUGAUCACACAAAUAGAUAAAAACUUGCAUUUUUUUAGGGAACUAUUUAUUAAUUCCGACUCAUUUGAAUGAAUUAAAUUGUAUCAACACUUCACCAAUUUUUAUCCGUUCUUUUUAUAACAAUUUCAAAUAUCUAUGUCCUUUUUUUAAGAACCCAAACAAAGUGAAAACACACAGUACAUAUAAAACAUACACUAUCAUAUACGAAAUAUUGUUGUCGCUAUUUUAUUUAUUUAUUCUUCUUAAAAUAAAAAUAUAAUAAUAAUAAUAAUAAUAAUAAUUAUUAUUAUUAUUAUUAUUAUUAUUUUUUGUUCCAACUACAUAGUUAUAUGUGUAUUUUUCUAUUGCCUUUACUUUUACCUACUUUUAAUUACUACUUUUAAAAUAUUCACAAAUAAAUGAAUAAUCGCAUGAUCUCUCAUAAUUUUAGAAUGUUCAAGUCUAUUUUUAAUACGUUAAAGUAUUUCGAUAUUCUUACAUAUUCUUAUUUUUUAUUUAUUUUCUUGAAACGCAUUUUGUAUAAAUUUACUUUCAAAAUAGAUAAAUUUUAUAUGUACGUAAUGAUUUAUAAACAAAUAAAUUUUUACAUAUUUUAAAACGACAUUUUCUUCUAUCUCAUAAAUAUUUUCUUUACGUACUUAUCUCUAAAUAUCAUGAAGCUUUAUAUUCUUGUAAUUAUAAAACUUUAAGUAUAACAACAUGCUAAUGUUAGACUUUUCGCUUUACUUUCAUUUUUUAUGCAUCUGUUUUGAUAACAAAUUAUGCUACGUUUCGUAUGUCAUAAGAAUAUGUUUAUGUACCUUGUGUGUUUUCUUUAAUUUUGAUAAAUAUAUGUGUAGUUACCACAAUUUAGCAAAUAACGAAGCAAUAUUUUUAUUUUCUAAACUGAGUUUAAGGACUAUCUUCGGAUAGACUCUGAGGGGUGCCUAACACCUUCACCUCGAGUAACCAAAACCCUUACUCAGAAUCUCAAAAUAUUUUCGAUAGACCAAAUAUAGUUUUACAAUAAAAUUGAUUUUUCCUAAUUUUCUUAAAAAGUUAGAUGGCGACUCAAAAAAAAAUAAAAAAUUCAAAACCCAAGAGUCAUGACACUAGCCACUACAUGUUGUGUGCUGUUUCGACCGAUUCGAAAUAGGAUGCGACAAUUCCCUCAUUACAUCAAAGAUUUAUGUGAGGACGAUGAAUCUAUCUUAUUCUUGCUUAUAUUGUAUAGUAAUAACUAUAUUGAAAUUUGAAUGAGAUUACAGAGUAAAUUUCAUGAAUGAUCAUCCAACUUUGUGUUCAUUAACCAAAAGUCCUUAUUUUUUAUUUUAUUUCACAAAAGUCAUUUAACUUUGCCUCAUCUUUCACAAAAUUCACUUUGGCAAAAUUUGAUUAAAAAACUACAUAAAAUGUGAGAUGAAAUAAAAAAAAAAUCUCUUAUGUUUGAGGGUAGGUUCAAAAUGGCUCCUCAAAUAUACUUUUGAACAAUUUUAAUCCACUAUAUUGUUAAAAAUGAGCCUUUUUAUUUACACAUGUUUGACAAAGUCUACCGAUCAAAUUUAACGAAAUUGAAAAAAAGUAAAACAAAAAAAUUUAAAAUUUAUUUAUCAUAAAUGUACAAUAAUUAUAUUUUUAUUUUACUAUCACACUAUUUUUUUUGGUUAAUUAUAGACAUCUAUUCUUUAUUUUUAUUGCAUAUUUUUAGUAGAUUAUUAAGUAAAUAAAUAUAAUUAUUAAAUUAUUUUAUAAUAGUGAAUAUUAUUAUCAACAUAUUGAAUAUGCAGAGUAAACUGUAAAAUUUUUAAUAAUAGAGUUACUAAAAGAAUUUAAAAAAAUAAAAUAAUGUUACUUAAGAAAUAAAAAAGUUAAAAAAAUUUAGAUAAUAGAUUUUUGUGAGGGGUUAGAAAAGGAGCUGAAAGAUUUGUUGAAAUUAGUUGAAAAUAGGGGUAUGAUGAAAAUUUUAAAUUUAUAUCUAUGUUUUACUCCUUAAUAUUUCAAUUAUUUCAUAAAAUAAUUAAUUCCUAGUAUACACUUUUGUAUUAGUGAUAAAUACAUUGAAGGAAUUGUUAUAAAGAAAUCAAAAUAAUCAAAGAAAGCGUGGUAUCGUAUGUAAUAUAAGAGAUCAACGUUACGAAAUGAAACUUGUGAAGGGAUCUAUGAAAUUAUUCUACAAUAAAUAAAUUAACCUACAAAGCAACACCAAAUAUUUCAAGAAACUAAUUUUUUUUUUUUUUUGUAAAGAAUACAUCUCUAAAUAUUUAAUAUUAUAUUUUUUCACAAUUUUGUAAAAUUUAACGAUCAAAAUUUGUUAAGUAUUUUAUGAAGAUCAAAUAUACUCACAUUUAGUAAGCUUAAAAUAUUAAAACUAUUCAAAAAUAGAUUUGAGGUGCCAUUUUGAACCUAUCUUCAAGAGGUGCCAUUUUGAACCUAUCUUCAAACACAUAAGAUCUUUUUUUUCUUCUUAUUAUUUUUUAAUCAUAUAUUUUAAUCAAAUUUUGUCAAAUCGACUUUUGUGAAAGGUGAAACAGUUAAAUGAUUUUUAUAUAACAAAAUAAAGAAUAAUGACUUUUGAAUAAUGAAAACAAAAUUGGAGAACCAUCCAUGAAAUUUACUCCCCAAAAUCAGCAAAAACUUGGAAGAUAACACCUUCGCAAUCCAAGAGAACUGAGUUAAAAUCUAUUUUGAAUUCCAAUUAGUAUGAAAGCAUAUAUGAUGCCAUCUUUAUUUUCUGCACUUUCAUUAAUGUUCUUGUUGAUCGUAUUUUACUUCUGUUCAAUAGUUGACCGCUGACUAUAUUUGUUCCUAUUGAUUGGAUAAAUUUUCUUCUGCUCAAUAGUUGGCCGCCGACUACAUUUAGUCGACUAAGAAAAUCAAAGAUAGCAGCCCCACCCCCCCAACCCUCUUGCUCUUUGAGAUAUUCAUUUGGUAAGAUUGUAUAGGAGUUAAUUGUGGAGUUUUAUAUUUAUAAAAAAUAACUAUAAUUUAAGUUAUUCAAAUUACAUGUCCAAAUAAAAUUUUAACAUCAAAUCAAUCUCUGAUUUCAAAUUACCGAUUUCUAAUAUUAUCCAAACGAGUCGAUUAAACACCGAAACUAAUUGAAGUUCAAAAUCUAGACUUAUAAUUACAAGUGAUCGAAAGGCAAUUACAAGUGAUUUAGACUUAAACACAUUCUGUAGUGAUUUGAUAAUUCAUGUCAUAUUUAUGGUAGAAGCUGGAAGGUACACGCAUAUGGAAAAUGGUUCUCGAGAAGAAUAGGAAACUUGUCUUUGUGCAAUGACAUGUAUAGAAGCAAUUCCAAAGCCAAAAGGAAGCCGAAACCUGUUCUGUGGCGCUGAAGAAGAAUAUAUAAGUCAUAGCUCUCUCCUAUGAGAAGUUGAUGACGCACCAAUGAUCAGACCACGAUCUAUCCCAACUGAUCAUCUGCUUCCUAAAAUUUACCUAGCCCACUUUGAAAAUCUUCUUUAUUUGGUCACACUCCUUUUAUGUAUAUAUAUAGAGUUAUUUGACACGAGAUACUAUCAAAUAUUUCAAGCAUAGAAAUAAUGUAAGACGAAUUUAAUACGGCCGGAGUGCUUAUCCUCAUCGAUGAUGAAGUCAAUAUAUUUAGUUUAUAAAUUCUUAAUCACAAUUUCUUUUUUAUUUAUUGGUAUAAAUUAUUUAUACACAUUUCAUGAAUUUUUCGAUGCAAAUAUUAAGUUUGAGUCUAAUCUACUGAAAUCUUUCGAAUUCAUAUUUACAAUGUUGACUCCUCUCCAACUUCCAUGCAUACUAUUGAAUCCCAUGUGACAUGAAUAUGAAUUAAUCCACGAUCGGAGAUUUACCAUUUGCUAAAAGAAUGAUAUGCCAAUUCCCAUUCAAGCGAGUCAUAAGUAAGAUGAUUAGUAGAAACAUUGUUUAAAAAAAAGUACAGUCAAGUGCAUUAAAGCUUUUACUAUGCAAAAAAUUUGAGAAAAGAACUAACCACAAGUGUGUAUUGUACGCUUACCUUGUACUAUUUAUAAAAAGAAGACAUUAAACAUUUUUGUCUCAUGAACUAGCUCUCCUUUGGAAAAUUAUGAUUGUCGUCCUCUUUUACAAGGGAGGAAGGUAGAACAAAUUACAGAAAACUAAUAAAUGACAUGAUUAUGGUCAUAUCCUUAUUUGAGUGAAUUUUCUACAUACUUGCAUUCUUUGUUGGUUCCGUCUACAAUAUUACCGCUGGGGAACUAGCUGGCACACGUUAACAUGUGCAUGCAAAGCCUUUUGUCCUUGUGAAUAAAAAAACUAAGUGGAGUAUGUUGGUGUAAUAUAGCAUAAUAAUAAAAAAUUAUAAUUAAAAAUAAAAAUGAAUAAAAAUUAAAUAACUAAUAUUUACGCUGAGGCACGAAUAUUUUGUUUUCUUUAAGGAGAUUCAGGUUUAUUGCGGCAUAAUCUACACCAAUCUAGCAGUAUAUUUAUUGACUUGUCCACUUCAGGAUAUAACUCCGAAUUGGUUGAAGAGUUCAAAGUUUCACCACAAAAACACCUUCAUUCAACACAUUAAAACUCUCUUUUGUAUUGUGAAUAUAAUUGUAGACUUAGAAUACUUUCUUUCUCUCAACUCUCUCUUCCACUAAUAUAGUUACUUUCUUUUGUGUAGUGAAUAUAAGUGGACAUUUAGAAUACUUUUUUUGCCUCAACUCUCUCUUUCACUAAUAUAAUUUUUAAAUUUAUCAUAUUUUCUUGUAUUUUUAAGAAAUAUGCAAGACCACCACUAUUUAUAAGUGGGGAUUUCUUUCAUGCAAUGAAUAGAAAACAAUAGUAAGUAGUAAAAUUGAUAUAUAAAUGACCUAUAAAUUACAUAAAUUACAAGUUACAAGACAUAAAGAGGUAGAAUUAAGGGUGUAUAAUAAAUUAAAGGUUGUGGGAGUUUCAAGAAACUAAUGGCAUGAAGGUUACAAGAAAUCAAUUGCAACUAGUGUUAGGGUUUUUGCCCUGAUUUUCUUACCAAAUUUAAGUUUUAUUUUUCUUAGAAGAAAAAUAAAAGUAAUAUCAUAAUUACUUUUAAUUUCAUGAAAGAAAAAUAUAAAAUUUUUUCAUAUUUGACAAACCUUUUUCUUGGAAGAAAGGUUUUGGACAUCUAUAAAUAGAAGACACCCCUUCUCAUACCAUAACAAAAAAUACCAUCUACAAUGUAGUUGUUAAAAGAAUCUGAUUUAGGGGGAGGUUUUCUCCCAAUAGAUUUUAAGUUUAUUUUGAUUUAGUUUUAAAUAUGUGGGCAAAUUGGCCAAAUCAUAUUCAAUAAUAUAUUUUUAGUAUAUUUUUUGUGUCAUCUGAUUUAUUGUCCUUGGUUGCAAAUUAUAAGUUUCCGCAUGACGUCCUCUUGAUUUCAAACCCAACAAGUGGUAUCAGACCAUAGUUCAAAGAUCCAGUGGUUUGGUAAAACGAGGUUGAAGACAAGUUCAAGGCGGUUCUAAUCAAUUUGCAAUCAAUUUGAUGAUAAUGAUAUUUUUAUCCAACUACAUGUGGAGAGAACAAGUUUCAACCAUAUUUUCAAUAUUCUUGUUGCUGCAUCUUUAAAAAUAAAAUAAAAUAUUAAUUUUAACCCAUUUUUAAUCAUGAUAUUUUAAACUUUAUUUUUAACUAUGACAAACAACAAUUAUGAAGAUUAUAUCAAGAACGAAGUUCAUGCAUGUGAUGUGAAGAAGGCGGAUCAAGUGAAGAAAAUCAAGCAAAAAAGGGAAGAUUUGUUAGGAUUUUUGCCCUGAUUUUCUUACCAAAUUUAAGUUUAUUUUUCUUAGAAGGAAAAUAAAAGUAAUACCAUAAUUACUUUUAAUUUCAUGAAAGGAAAUAUAAAACUUUUUCAUAUUUGACAAACCUCUUUCUUGGAAGAAAGGUUUUGAACAUCUAUAAAUAGAAGACACCCCUUCUCAUAUCAUAACAAAAAAUAACAUCCACAAUGUAGUCGUUAAAAGAAUCUGAUUUAGGGAGAGAUUUUCUCCCAAUAGAUUUUAAGUUUAUUUUGAUUUAGUUUUAAAUAUGUAGGCCAAUUGGCCAAAUCAUAUUCAAUAAUAUAUUUUUAGUAUGUUUUUUGUGUCAUCUGAUUUAUCGUCCUUGGUUUGCAAAUUAUAAGUUUCCGCAUGACGCGCUCUUGAUUUCGAACUCUACAACUAGUGCCACUAAUCAAAAUAAAAAAUGCAACCAUUAACCGUAAGGGUGAAAAUCAUUUUUUCUCUCCAACUUUGUCUAAAAAAUCAAUCUUUUCCCUAAAUUGAACAAUAUUCAUCUUCCCCCUUUUAUCCUAAUUGAAUUUUUAAAAUGCCUAUUGUACCCUCUCAUCAUCAACUUUUUUUUACUUCUUUAAAAUCAUCAAAUUUUUAUAUUUUAAAAUUCAUAAAAAAAUUUCAUAAAAGCAUGAACAUUAUCUUCUUGGAGGGGGGGGAGGAUUUAUAAAAUCAAGAGAAUUGUAUUAUAAUUUUUUUUACUUGUAAUAUUAAGUAAUUACAUAAUGUAGUAGUAUAAACAAAUUUAAAGUUUCAAAAUAUCAUUAAUAAGGUUAAUUCAGUAAAAUGUACCUCUAAAUAAAUUUUUCCUAAGGAUUGUGUCAUGUCAACAAAAGCCAAUUAAUAUGAAACGAAUGUAAUAAGAGAGCGGUGAAACACAAAAAUAUAUAUGCACAUGCAUGUACAUACAUAUACACACACUUAAAGGUGGCUUAGUUGAGAAGAAUUUAUUCUGGGAUUUGUUAUCCUGAAAUAAAUUCUACCAACAUAUAUAUGUGGUAACUUAUUCCAUCACUGUGGUAUAAAUGGUGGGAUAAAUAAUUUUGAGACUAACUAAUACCUCUAACCAAACACAGGAUAACAUAAUCAUGAAUUUUAUCCUCGAAUUAUUAUAAUUACAACUCACACUGAAUGGUUCUUUACUACAUAUAAUAUUGAAAUAACGAUCUUAAAAAAAUAUUAAAUUUUGUGACAAAAUUAUGAAAAGUAUUAUUUUUCUUAUAAUGUUAAUAAAGAGGUAUUACAUAAAUAUAGAAUUAAAAUUACAAGGAAAAAAAUGUACAUUGCAUAGGAUAAAGGGAAAAGUAUGAUUAUUAUUUAAUAUUGAGAAGAGAAUUUAAUUUUUAAAGCAAAAUUGGGGGGUGGGCGGGCGAAAAUGAUUUUAAUCCUUAACCAUAAUGACAAACGCACACAAUGCUACAUAGAAGUUGUAAAAAUAUUUACAACUAUGGUUAUGAUUGUGCGACUCCCAUAGUAAAAUUUAAAUUGAAAAAUUUUACAAUGAAAGAGUCACAACCAACAAAAAUUGUGUGACCCUUCAUUAAUUUUUCCGACACAUAAAUAAUGGACCCUACUUUUUUGAUUUCACAAUGAAAGCAAUGAAAAUGAGAGAUAAUAUAUAUUUAUAUAAUUCAUGUGGGUUUUAGUUGGUAAAAUAAAUAUAAAAAGUAAAACAAAGGAGAAUUAUAUGGCUCUUGCCAGAUGCAACGACGUAUAAGGUAAAGAUAUGAUUUUUUUUCUUUAUGAUUUCAUAAAACUCCACGUAAAUUUUUGAUUGUUAUUUGAGAUCAAAAUCACACCAAAUUUAUGUAUUGGUCUUAUUUUUAUUAAUAGAUAUUUCAUCCGUUUAAAUUUAUGAUUUCUUUUCAAAAAUUUUAAAAAAGACAUAUUUUUAUAUUUAGUACAAUAAGGGGUCAUUUGGUAGAAGGAUAAGAAAAAUAAUUUGAGGAUAAAAUUUGGGAUUAACUUUAUCCCAUAUUUGGUAUAAGACAUUACUUAAUUUCGGAACUAUUUUAUCCCAUUAUUUGUGCUAAAAUGGUAGGAUUACUAUCUCAUGGGGGGAGGGGGACGGAUAAAAUAGUCCCUUGGGAUCCCAUUUCACGUGAUAUCCUUACUUAUCCCAUCCAGUGUACCAAACGACCCCUAACAUUUCUCAUGAAAUCUCACAAAUGGGAUUUGGGGAAGAUAGAACAUUUGCAAACUUUAACAGAGAGGGUGUUUCAUCUUUUCUAUUUUAGUAAUAAUUUAAUUAUAAAAUACUAUAUAUUUUAUUCUCAAUGAAAUAAUUUAUAACCACAUAAAUUUUUUCGGCUUAUAAAAUACUAUAUUUUAUUCCAAUUCAAUUUUUUUUAAAUAUGUACGGGUCAACUUUUACGUAAAUUAAAAUAUAUAAAAUAAUAUUUUAAUGUUUUAGAUUUGUAGAAAAAUAAGUAUUUAGCAUUUUACUCAGAAAAGUGAAAAUUCUAUUGAAAAAUAGAUUCGAAACUAUUUUUCAAACUUGAAACAUAACUUUAAGUUAGUUUUGAAAUUUUCUCUGUCAAACACUAAUUUUUAAAUAAAAUGAAAAAAAUUAUUCUGAAAAAAAAUACUCAUAUUUUAGUAUUUUAUGAUAAAAAUGAUCCUUAUAAAAGAUUGAUGGAUGGAGUUUUAUUGCUUUUAAUUAUAAAAUUGAAUAAAUAAGGUCCACCAUUCAUGUGUCAAAAAUCUAAUGGAAGGCCGCACAACUUCUGUUGGUUGUGCGACUCUUGUAGUAAAAUUUUUCAAGUUGUAAUAUGAAAAAAUUAAAGCCAUUUGAUCUCACAAGUCCUCCAAUGUAAAAAGGAGGAGCUACCAACAAUAUUACAUUUACACUCAACACUUUGGCAAUGCAAUUUUCCAAUGUAACACAACAUGAUGCAUGAUAAUAUUUAGGCCAAACCCAUCGAUAGCCCCAUAAACUUGUUCCUAAAAUUCACUUAGGCCCCUAAACUAAGGCUUGUACCUAUCAAACCCUCUAAACCCCCCAAUUUUGUUCCUAUUGGGUAUUUUUUGGCCAAUCAACUAAAAUGUCAAGUGUGUGUAAUACACACGCGACGAUGUGGCAAAAAAGGCUAAUUAGAAACUACCACGUGGCAUUAUGGUCCAUUAAUUAAGAAAAAUUAAUUAUAAUUUUUUUUUGUUUAAAAAAAGGUUCAACACACACACAUACGCUGGUACACCUGCUCCCCCGUCCCUUCACCCUUUCAUUCUUCUUCUCUAUUGUUCUGCAAGAAGAAAGGAAAACUUAAAAAAAAAAAAUCUCCACUUUCAGCAAGCUGCAGAACUUAAGAAAAAAAAAAGUUCUCAUGAUACUUUGUCCAUCAAGGAUAUCAUUCCCCAUUAUAUUGGAUUUGAGUUAUUUAAGUUCAUAAACAUGUAAUUUUGAACAAUCUUGAAAUUUUAAAGUUAAUUUUCCGGCGAGUCUCGCCAGAAACUGCAUUCAAAAAUGGCUAAAGAAGAUGAUGACUGAGGUCAUGGUUUGUAAAGGAAGAUGAUGAUGAUGAAGGAUUGUGAAGAAGAUGAUGAAGAAGGGUGUGAAGAAGACGAUGAAGGAGGGGGGGGGGCAGUGAAGAAGACGAUGAAGUCUCGCCGAAAAAUACAUUCAAAAAUGGCUAAAGAAGAUGAUGAUUGAAACCGUGGUUUGCAAAGGAAGACGCUGAUGAUGGAGGGUUGUGAAGAAGAUGAUGAAUGAGGGUGGGGGUUGCGAAGAAGAUGAUGAGGUGGGGGGUGAAGAACAUGAUGAAAGGGGAGCGGGGUGCUUUUUUUAUUUUUUUUAUUAAGAAAUUAUAAUACUUAAAAAUAAUAUUAAUAAAAUGAUUUAAAUAUAAAAUUUUUAAUUAAAAAAAGUAAAAUAUUAUUUAAUUUACUGUUCACACGCCCAAGGAGAGUGUAACAUACUCUCCUUACCAACUCAGUAUUUUGUGCCUGAUAGGUACCAAUUUUAGCACUUGAGGGGCCUGAUAGGUAUAAGUCUUAGUUUAGGGGCCUAUGUGAAUUUUCGGAACAACUUUGAGGUCCUAUCGAUGGGUUUGGCCUAAUAUUUAAUAUUAAAAUGCUUAAGAACCAAAAAAAUAUAUAUAGUGGUAGAAAGAGGGUCAGAAAAGGUUCUUACAUAAAAACUUAUUCAUACUCGUUAUUUAUAUUUAAUUCGAUAAAUACAUAACUUAGCAUACACUAUUAUUGUUAGGCCAUAAUUUUAAGGAAAAAUUACCCGGAUUAAUCAUUAUUAGACUUUUAUUACCACUUAAAACCUAAUUUUUAAUUAAUUACAAUUCAUAGUAUCUCUUGUCUAUUAAUUAAUCCUAAUUACAAUUCAUGGCCUUUCUCAUGUAUUUUCUCUCUUUUUCUAUUUCCUAUUAUUCUCUUCUUUUUUUUCCUUUUUCAGUUUUCUUCUUCUUCUUCAGCUUUUCUUUUCCUUUUUUUUUUUUGCUUUCUUUUUAUUUUUUCUUUUUCUUUUUUCUUUUUAUUUUUUAUUCUUUUUUUUCCUUUUCAUUUUUCUCCUCUUUCUUCUUCUUAUUCUUCUUUUUUUUUUUUUUUUUUUUUUUUUUUUUGUAUUUUUUCUCCUUCCUUUUAUCUCAUUUUUCUCCUUUUUUUUUUCUUUUCAAUUUCUCUCCUUCUUUUCAUUUGUGCGAACUAGAAAAUACAAAUACAAGUGUGAACUAUAAAAUACAAAUACAAAUGUGAACUAUAACAUACAAAUACAAGUGCGAACUAUAAAAUACAAAUUCAAAUGCGAACUAUAACAUAUAAAUAUAAGUGUGAACUAUAAAAUACAAAUACAAAUGCGAACUAUAACAUAUAAAUACAAGUGUGAACUAUCAUUUCUAUUUUUUAAUUAUUAAAAAGGAACGAUUGAUUUUAUUUCUACGAAUAUUUGUUUGUAUUUCACUACUAAAAAAAAGGUGAAAACCGACCACGAAAAACCGACCACAAAUUGUGAUCGGAAAAAACCGACCACUAGUGGUCGGAUUUUAAUUUUUUUUAAAAAAGUGACCACAAGUGGUAGCUUUUUUAUUUUAAAAAAUUAAAAUAAUUAUAGUAUUAAUUAUUAUUUAUUUUGCAAAUGAAAAAAAUUAAAAAAAACAAAAAAACCGACCACUUGUGGUCGAUUUUUUGAUUAUUUUCUAAUUAAUUCUUUCAAAAAAACCGACCAUUGGUGGUAGGUUUUUUGAAAAAAUAAUAAUUAAAAUAUAUAUAAAAAAUCGACCACAAGUGGUCGGUUUGCUGGAGGAUUUGGAGACUAACUUUUGAAAGAGUAUUGACCUCAAAAUUUUGGGAUUAGAAUUUGCACUCUCUCUCUCUCUCUCUCUCUCUCUCUCUGGAAUACAUAACGUUCACAACGUUCACUAACACUAACGUCUCCGACCCAACGUUCAUUGACCCUUGAUCGGCCGAUGCCGGCGACGGCGUAGGAGUGUCAUAAACUAUUAAGGUUAUGUCCUCGCCCCCGUUCCCUCGCCCUAGUCUCUCUAUUCUUUCCCCUCUCCCCUUUUCUUUCUCUCGCCGUCUUCUGAACCAACCAACCACUACUUUUGCUAGCGAGUUAAGGUCACAGUUGUCUCGACUCUAGUGACAUAGGCAGCUCGCAGCUCCGAUCACAGGCCACCGAUUUCGGUGGGUCCAUCUGAAGGAUCUGCUGGUUCCGAACAGACCUGAUUUCGUCAAUUCCAGAUUUGAGUCCGGCAGGACUCAAGCGAAUCUCCGACGAUAAUAUCCAGGCGACCAAUUUAUGCAAUCAGCUUGAAGGGAUACAACAUUACAAUAUUCCAACAUAACAUGCAAGAAACAAAAAAUUGGUCUACACGCGUAUCCCGGUGAUUUAUAACAUUUGCUAUUUCCUCCUUCAUAUUAUUUAUCGUAUUAUCUCCUGUAUCUUGACUUGCGUGUAUGCUGUAGUAUAUUCGUGACUUUCACCGCUCCUUAUUAUUUGUUUUACUCUCCUUGGUGUCAGGCCAUUAGUGUGCUAUGUUUUUCUUACUGUUAGUUUUGUCCUUACCUUGGUUUUAUUUUUCUCCGUAUUUGAGUUUAGUUUUGUUUCUUGAUUAUUUCUUCUAAUUUGUGUGAGCCUUGUAUUUCCUGCUGCUGCUUUGUUACUAUCAUUAUUUAUAAUUUCUUAUAUUUUUUUAUAGUAGUGGUUGUGGGCGUUGAUAGUUGGAUAAGGUCAUAUCUGAGGGGGUUGGGGUAGGGGGCUAUUAUGGGUAUAGUGGAAGAGGGAAGGGAGGGGGUGGGAGGGAGGCCAAGUUUUGGCGUCAGGGGGGGUAGAGGAAGACGUGAUGAUAGAGUUGGUAGGCUGAGAGUUGGGUCUUGGAAUAUAGGGACUCUUCAUGGUAAGUCCAUAGAGCUUGUGAAGAUUCUUAGAAAGAGGAGGAUUAAUAUUACAUGUGUUCAAGAGACCAAGUGGGUAGGGUCUAAGGCUAGGGAUGUGGAUGGUUACAAGCUUUGGUACUCUAGGAGUGAGAGGCAUAGGAAUGGAGUUGGCAUCUUAGUAGAUGAAGAGCUUAGAGGUCAGGUAGUGGAGGUUAAGAGGAUCAACGAUAGGUUGAUGACUAUUAAGUUGAUCAUUGGGGGGUUUACCCUAAAUAUGUUUAGUUUUUAUGCGCCGCAGGUGGGCUUGAUGGGGAGGAGAAGAUGCAGUUUAGGAGUCUUUGGAUGAGGUGGUGAGAGGUGUGCCUAACUCAGAGAACAUUAUUGUAGCAGGAGAUUUCAAUGGGCACAUUGGGGCGUUACCGAGAGGCUUUGGUGAUGUGCAUGGUAGUUUUAGUUUUGGGGAAAGAAAUGAAGAGGGGGCUACUCUAUUGGAUUUUGUGAGGUCCUUUGGGCUGGUGGUGGUGAACUCGGGCUUCCCGAAGAAGAAAAAUCACCUGAUCACCUUUCGAAGCGCGAUAGCCAAAACCCAGAUUGACUUUUUAUUGCUUAGUAAAGGGGAUAGGGUGUUGUGUAAGGACUAUAAGGUCAUCCCGAGUGAGAAUCUUUUGACCCAGCUAAGGCUCUUGGUUAUGAAUUUGGGUAUAAAGUAGAAUAAGAAGAGAAGGGGUGAGGAGUGUAGACCUAGAAUUAAGUGGGGUGGCUUGAUACCAGUGAAUACAUGGGAGAUAGGAGAGCUGUUAGCGGGAAUAGGGGUGUGAGAGUGUAGGGGGGACGUGGAUAGUAUGUGGGAUAGGGUGUCUAGGUGCAUCAGGGAGAAUGCUAGUGAGGUGUUGGGUAUUUCUAGGGGCUGGGCCAGGUAUCAUUAGGGGGAUUGGUGGUGGAAUGAAGAGGUUAAGAAGAAAGUGGAGAUCAAGAAAGGGGCGUAUGCUAAGUUGGUUGAGAGUAAGGACGAAGAAGAGAAUCGGAUAAACAGGAAAGAGUAUAAGUUAACUAGGAAGGAGGCUAAGUUAGUAGUUACGGCGGCUAAGACGACAGCAUUUGAGAGCUUGUAUGCGGGGUUACAGGAGAAAGAAGGGGAAAAAAGGUUGUUUAGACUUGCUAAGGCUAGGGAGAGAAAGGGUUGUGACCUCGAUUAGGUGAAGUACAUUAAGGGAAAGGAUGGUACAGUGUUGGUGGAGGAAAACCACAUUAAGAAUAGAUGGCAGUCAUAUUUUCAUAGGCUCUUGAAUGACAAAGGGGAUAGAGAUAUUGUGUUAGGGGAGAUGGAGCACUCAAAGGAGUGUCGGGAUUUUAGUUAUUGUAGACGUUUUAAGGUAGAGGAGGUUAGAGAGGCUGUUCGCAGGAUGCGAAGGGGUAGGGCGACGGGGCCUGAUGAGAUACCUGUGAAUUUUUGGAAGUUUUUUGGUGAGGCUGGUUUAAGGUGGUUGACCGGAUUGUUUAACAAAAUUUUCAAAAUGGCGAAAAUGCCCGAGGCUUGGAGGGGGAGUACUAUGAUCCCUCUUUAUAAGAACAAGGUUGACAUUCAGAGUUGCAAUAACUAUAGGGGUAUUAAGUUAUUGAGUCACUCUAUGAAUAUUUGGGAGAGAGUGGUUGAUGUGAGGCUGAGACGGAUAGUGUCUAUUUUGGAGAACCAAUUUGGAUUUACACCCGGCCGCUCGACAACGGAGGCAAUUCACCUGGUGCGGAGGCUGGUGGAACAGUAUAGGGAAAGGAAGAAGGACCUGCACAUAGCAUUUAUCGACCUGGAGAAGGCUUACGACAAAGGCCCCAGGGAGGUUCUUUGGAGAUGCUUGGAGGUAAGUGGAGUACCGCUGGCAUAUAUCAGAGCAAUUAAGGAUAUGUAUGAUGGAGCGAAAACUCAGGUGAGGACGGCGGGAGGAGACUCAGAGCAUUUCACUGUCUUGACAGGAUUGCAUCAGGGAUCUACUCUUAGUCCCUUUUUGUUUGCUUUGGUGAUGGAUGUGUUGGCGCGGUGUAUUCCAGGAGAGGUGCCUUGGUGUAUACUUUUUGCAGAUAAUAUAGUUUUGAUUGAUGAGACGCGGGGGUUGUGAAUGAUAAAUUAGAGGUGUGGAGACAAACACUUAAGUCUAAAGGGUUCGGGUUGAGUAGAAGCAAGACAGAAUAUUUGGAAUGUAAGUUUAAUGACGUGAGGCUGGAGAAUGAGGUGGUAGUGAAGUUGGAAUCGAAGGUGGUAAGUAAGAUGGAUAGUUUCAAGUAUCUCGGGUCCGUGAUUCAGGGUAAUGGUGAGAUUGACGAGGAUGUCUCGCACUGUAUUGGGGCGGGAUGGAUGAAGUGGAAGCUCACUUUGGGGGUGUUGUAUGAUAAGAAGGUGCCGCCCAAGCUUAAAGGCAAAUUCUACAGGGUGGCAGUCCAUCCGGCCAUAUUGUAUAGAGCGGAGUGUUGGCCAGUAAGAACUCCCACAUUCAAAAAAUGAAGGUGGCGAAAAUGCGGAUGUUGCGUUGGAUGUGUGGGCUGACUAGGGGGAUAAAGUUUGGAAUAAGACUAUUAGGGAGAAGGUUGGUGUGACUUCAGUGGAUAAUAAGAUACGGGAAGUCCGAUUGAGAUGGUUCGAACACGUGAUGAGGAGGGGCAUGGAUGCCCCGAUUCGUAGGUAUGAGAGGCUAGCUUUGGAUGGUUUUAGGUGUGGUAGGGGUAGGCCAAAGAAGUACUGGGGAGAGGUGAUUAGGCGGGACAUGGAGCAGUUACAGCUCACUAAGGACAUGACCCUAGAUAGGAAGAUCUGGAGGACGCGAAUUAGGGCAGAAGGCUAGGGUCAGUUUGGGUCGNNNNNNNNNNNNNNNNNNNNNNNNNNNNNNNNNNNNNNNNNNNNNNNNNNNNNNNNNNNNNNNNNNNNNNNNNNNNNNNNNNNNNNNNNNNNNNNNNNNNNNNNNNNNNNNNNNNNNNNNNNNNNNNNNNNNNNNNNNNNNNNNNNNNNNNNNNNNNNNNNNNNNNNNNNNNNNNNNNNNNNNNNNNNNNNNNNNNNNNNNNNNNNNNNNNNNNNNNNNNNNNNNNNNNNNNNNNNNNNNNNNNNNNNNNNNNNNNNNNNNNNNNNNNNNNNNNNNNNNNNNNNNNNNNNNNNNNNNNNNNNNNNNNNNNNNNNNNNNNNNNNNNNNNNNNNNNNNNNNNNNNNNNNNNNNNNNNNNNNNNNNNNNNNNNNNNNNNNNNNNNNNNNNNNNNNNNNNNNNNNNNNNNNNNNNNNNNNNNNNNNNNNNNNNNNNNNNNNNNNNNNNNNNNNNNNNNNNNNNNNNNNNNNNNNNNNNNNNNNNNNNNNNNNNNNNNNNNNNNNNNNNNNNNNNNNNNNNNNNNNNNNNNNNNNNNNNNNNNNNNNNNNAAGUAAUUUUUGCAUAUAUUCUUAAAAUAUAUUAAAUUAUCAAUUAUUAUGAUUUAUUAUUCAAAUAUAUAAUUUUAUUUUAAAAAUUUAAUUCACGAUCAAAAUUAAACUCUACAAAUGUAUAAAUUAAUAAAGAGCCUGAAAAAUCAAAUUCGAUGGGCCUACAUUACAAUGUUUCAGAUAACACAAGCUCAGUAUAUGUUAUUUUUUGAUCUCAAACAAUGUGAUCUAAAUAGAAUUUAGAAAUCAAUCAUACUUUUAAUACGUUUUUAGAUAUUUUAAGUUGUUAACUAUUGUAGUUUAUAAUAUUUUUUUUUCAAAUAAUAUAUGUUACUCUCCUUGUCCAAACUUUUGUGGCGUUGAUAGUCAAUUNNNNNNNNNNNNNNNNNNNNNNNNNNNNNNNNNNNNNNNNNNNNNNNNNNNNNNNNNNNNNNNNNNNNNNNNNNNNNNNNNNNNNNNNNNNNNNNNNNNNNNNNNNNNNNNNNNNNNNNNNNNNNNNNNNNNNNNNNNNNNNNNNNNNNNNNNNNNNNNNNNNNNNNNNNNNNNNNNNNNNNNNNNNNNNNNNNNNNNNNNNNNNNNNNNNNNNNNNNNNNNNNNNNNNNNNNNNNNNNNNNNNNNNNNNNNNNNNNNNNNNNNNNNNNNNNNNNNNNNNNNNNNNNNNNNNNNNNNNNNNNNNNNNNNNNNNNNNNNNNNNNNNNNNNNNNNNNNNNNNNNNNNNNNNNNNNNNNNNNNNNNNNNNNNNNNNNNNNNNNNNNNNNNNNNNNNNNNNNNNNNNNNNNNNNNNNNNNNNNNNNNNNNNNNNNNNNNNNNNNNNNNNNNNNNNNNNNNNNNNNNNNNNNNNNNNNNNNNNNNNNNNNNNNNNNNNNNNNNNNNNNNNNNNNNNNNNNNNNNNNNNNNNNNNNNNNNNNNNNNNNNNNNNNNNNNNNNNNNNNNNNNNNNNNNNNNNNNNNNNNNNNNNNNNNNNNNNNNNNNNNNNNNNNNNNNNNNNNNNNNNNNNNNNNNNNNNNNNNNNNNNNNNNNNNNNNNNNNNNNNNNNNNNNNNNNNNNNNNNNNNNNNNNNNNNNNNNNNNNNNNNNNNNNNNNNNNNNNNNNNNNNNNNNNNNNNNNNNNNNNNNNNNNNNNNNNNNNNNNNNNNNNNNNNNNNNNNNNNNNNNNNNNNNNNNNNNNNNNNNNNNNNNNNNNNNNNNNNNNNNNNNNNNNNNNNNNNNNNNNNNNNNNNNNNNNNNNNNNNNNNNNNNNNNNNNNNNNNNNNNNNNNNNNNNNNNNNNNNNNNNNNNNNNNNNNNNNNNNNNNNNNNNNNNNNNNNNNNNNNNNNNNNNNNNNNNNNNNNNNNNNNNNNNNNNNNNNNNNNNNNNNNNNNNNNNNNNNNNNNNNNNNNNNNNNNNNNNNNNNNNNNNNNNNNNNNNNNNNNNNNNNNNNNNNNNNNNNNNNNNUAUAUAUAUAUAUGUAUGUAUGUAUGUAUGUAUAUCUCGUGUAGUGAUAAAAUAGAUAUUCUAUUUUGUGUCAAUACAAUAUUGAGACACGUAUAUUGUUGAAGUUGUAAUAAUAUAAGACAAGUAUUAUGAGGUAUAUAUACAUAUAUCUCGUAUAAUGACAUAUGCAGUGAUCGAAAGAUCGAUAAUUGAAUCUAUAUAUCAAAAUAUUUUGAAUAAUGCACUGAUAUCAUACUAUUGAGGAAAUAGAUAUACUAUUUUGUGUGAAUGUAGAUACGCGUAUAUUAUUGAAGUUGUAAUAACGUAAGACUAGUAAUCGAUAAUUUAUCUAAUUAACAGGUUGUAUUACGAGGUAUAUAUAUAUAUAUAUAUAUAAUUAACAUGGAUAAUUUAUCUGAUUAACACGUUGUAUUAUGAGGUAUAAUAUCGUAAUUAAAAUUUAAUUAACUAAAAAUUUAUCGUAAUUUGUAAAAUUCAAUUAUAUUAUCAUGGGAUUGAGGAAAUAUACUACUCGUGUUAAUGUGAUGAUAAAUUAUCUAAAUAUCUGAUUUAUAUAUAUAUUUAUAUAUGCAUUGUAUUAAAUUAAUUGGAUAUUGUUAUAAAUAUUAUAAAAUUUAUCAUAUGUAAUCUAUUUUAAUAUCGACAUUUUUAUUACAUUUCCUAAAAUAGCAACCCUAAUUCAAUUCAAUUUUCCCAAUUCAUUUACUUUCUAGCUACAUUUUAUAUAUGUCUAUGUCAAUUUUAUCCUAAAUUCAUUUUCAAUUUGACCUCAAAUUAAAAUCCCCAAUUUCAAUUUCAUUUGACUCCUCUCAAUUUUAAUCAUAGCCAUUGGUCUCAUCCGAUCAAUGGCUGAGAUUAAAUCCACAAUUUAUCACACUUUUAAACAAAAUAAGUCAAACCCUAAUUCUUUUCACAAAAAUAGCCGUACCCUCUCUGAUUUCCCUCUUCCUCUCUCUCUAUCAACGACGAUGGAACCCCAGCGCCGCCAGCCAUCAAUAGAAUCCCAGCGCCGCUAGCAGCCAUCUCCACCAAUGCCGGCAGCACCACCAGCCGAUGAAGCAGCCGUCCACCAGCCAUCCGGCAACCUCCGUCUCAUUACUACCCUUAAAAAAGAUUCCAUGUGUUUGGCCCAAAAAGAUGAAACAUUCCAAUACGUGAGAAGGUGUAUUGUAGACCUAACAUAAAUAAAUAAUGGCAUUCUCCCUUAAAUUUAAACUCUUAGAGCUGGUCACAUAGUUCAAUGUUCCUAUGCUUAUUAAAUCUUCCAGGUAGAAAAUAGAGGUUUAACUAAUUUUUUAAUUUUACAAGGAUUACAAUUCCUGGGUUAUUUAGGACUAUAGUUCUUUGAAUCUCUUUUACUUGUAAAAGAAGAACUCAAUAAAUGGUAAAACCUUCACCAUUAAUGAUAUUUGUCCUUGGCUUUCAUUUCAGUUUCAAAAACUUCAAGGGUUUCCUAAUAUUAGCCCCUUGAUAGUCUUUUCUCUGGGUUUCUCUUCUAUAAAUUGGGGCCACGACAGAUGUCUAUACAACGCACUUGAUGCCGAUACACACAAAAAAAUUAUCUGAUCAAAAAGAUAAAAAUAUAAUAUAAAAUUAGAAAAACAACAUGAAUCAAUGUAGAAACCCUUCCAAAUAUGCUGCAAUGCUUCCUCAAUCAAUAAUUACAAGUCCCAAAUAACAAUGAUGAGCCUAUAAGCUCUCAGUCAUGAUUACUUGUCUUUUUAAGGUUCCUAGUGUGACAAAUUUAAAUACAAUAUAAAUAUCAGUCAGAGAAAAUACAAUGUCGACAUUGUUCUCUUGCUAGUUCAUUCUAAAAAAAAAUAAUUGACGCAAUUUUAUAUUUGAAAACACCUUAACUUUAAAGUUUCUAUUUUAUUCUUAAUACAUUUUUUCUUAACCACAUAAGUAAUGCGGUAUGUUUAAGAUCACAAGUUUAAGAUCCGUUGAAAAUGAAGUUGUGUAUCUUUUAAUUUUCUAAGCUCAUUAUUUUCGAUAUUGUAGUUUCCCGUGAGAGAAUCUAUAAGUAGAUUGAAGCUGCCAUUUUGAAAUAUCAAGAAAUGAAGAAAAAUAUCAAAGAUAUGUGGACAUAGUGAAGCUGUGUGGGGCCUUGUGCGAUUCACUAUUGUUGUUAUCUUUCUUUGAUUGUUCAUAUUGAAGUCUAGUGAAGCCGUGUGUGGCCUUGUGCGAUUCACUAGCAUUGUUCUUGACAUCUUGUUGGUUUUGUUGUUGCUUAAAAAUUGUAUUAUGAACUUGAUCUUGAAUGUUUAGGGACUUGGUAGGUUGAAAAUGAUUUGGUGACUUGGUAGGUUGAAAAUGAUUAAGUGUAGAGACUUUAAGGGUGACACGAUAGGUUGAAAGUGGUUAAGAGUAGGAACUUUGAAGGGGAUUUUAUGUUUUGAAUGUGACUUGUUUGACAACUUAGUAACUUGAAAAUGGUUAAGUGUAGGGACUUUGCAGGGAAUUUUUUUGGUUUUGAAUGUGGUUUGUUAGGUCACUUAGUUGCUCGAAAAUGGUUAAGUCUAGGGACUUUGAAGGGUAUUUUUUUUGUUUUGAAUGUGUUUUUGUUUUGAUACUUAGUUGCUUGAAAAUGGUUUAGUUGGUGACUUUAUUUGUUGAAAAUGCUUAAGUGCCGGUGACUUUAAUAGGGAAUUAGUUUCGUUGGUGCCUUUGUUAGUUGAAAAAGCUUAAGUUUUGGUAACUUUAAUAGUGAACUAGUGUUUAGGAGGUGAUGUUGUUGGUGACUUUAUUUGUUGAAAAUGCUUAAGUGCCGGUGACUUUAAUAGUGAAUUAGUGUUUAGUAGGUGAUGUUGUUGGUGACUUUAAAUGCCGGUGAUUUUAAUAGUGAAAUUUUGUUUGGAGGGUAUUGUUGUUGGUUACUUUAUUUGUUGAAAAUGCUUAUUAAGUGCCGGUGACUUUAAAAGUGAACUUUUGUUUAGAAGGUGAUGUUGUUGGUUACUUUAUUUGUUGAAAAUGCUUAUUAAGUGCCGGUGACUUUAAAAGUGAACUUUUGUUUAGAAGGUGAUGUUGUUGGUUACUUUAUUUGUUGAAAAUGCUUAAGUGCCGGUGACUUUAAUAGUGAAUUAGUUUCGUUGGUGCCUUUGUUAGUUGAUGUAGUUCGGGUAGCGAAAGGUCUAUCCCUCCUGGAUGAUUUCGGCAUUGGCGAUGAUAUGAAAGACGAGGAUGAAUUCGAAGAUGAUGAUGACUUUUAGUUUUGAGAUUUUGUAUGUCUUCUACUUUAAAUUUGGAUAUUUUGUUGUUUCAAACUAUUGUUGUUGUUUUUUCAUACAAACUUUUGUUGCACAUACAUUUUGUAUGUCUUGUACACUUAUGAAAAUAUUUAUAUUUGGGUUUUUGUUGUUGGAAAUGCUGUAUUUGGAUUUUCAUUUAGUGGUGCUUUUGGAAAUGCUGUAAUUAGAUGUUCAGUUUUUAUUUUUUUUAAAUUCCCAGAAAAAUUGACCAUAAGUGGUCGAUUUUUUGAUACUUAACCUCAGAAAACCGACCACUUGUGGUAGAUUUUUAAUUAAUUAAAUUAAUUUAAUAAAAACGUACCACAAGUGGUUGGUUUUUUAUUAAAUUGAUUAAUUAAUUUGAUAAAAAACCCGACUACAGGUGGUCGGUUUUUAUUAAAUUAAUUAAUUAAUUUAGUAAAAUACCGACCAGAGGUGGUCGGACUAUUUAUUAAAUUAAUUAUUUUAAUUUAAUAAAAAACCGACCACAUGUGGUCGGGUUUUCUUUUUUAAUCAAAAAUUACUUUUUCAAUUUUAAAAAUAUUAUAAUAAAUUUUUAAAAAAUAUAAAUAUUUUUUUAAAAAACCGACCACUCGUAAUCGGUUUUUGAAAAGCCACCACUGUUUUUACGACCACGUUUUUUGGUCAAUUUUUUGGUAGGAAAUUGGAUAAAACCAACCACUUGUGGUCGGUUUUCUCCCUUUUUUAGUAGUGUUAAUAAAUACAACUCAAAUUUUCAUACAAAUAUAAUAUAUACAAAUACAUAGUGUAUUUGUAUUUGUAAAAUUAUUUAUUUCAUUUGUUUGUCAUUGUAUUUGUAUCAAGUGAUAUUUGUUUAUUUACAAAUAUGAAUGAUAAUUUUGAUAUACAAAUACAAAAUGAUACGUUUUUAUCAAAUGAUACAUUACAUAUUUAUAUAUUUUAAAAUCACAAAAAUACAAUUAAUGCACUUAUUUGUUUGUAUACAAAUACAAAUGAUAAAUUAUACAUAGUCACGACUAAAUACAAUAUGCAAUCAGCUUACAAAUACAAAUACAAAAUAAUUUUUUAAAAAUAAAAAGGUAAUGAAGAAAAUAGAAUACAAAUACAAGUAUAAUCCAAAUAUAAUCUAAAUAUACAAACACAAUAAAGCCAUAAUAUAAAUAUAAUCUAAUAUAAUAUGCAAUCAAUUAUAAAAUAAAAAUACAAAAUAGUUCUUUAAAAUACAAGUGUGAAUUAUAUAAAAGAUAAAUGAUGGAGCAAACUAACAAAUACAAAUACAAGUGCGAACUAUUAAAUACAAAUACAAAUGCGAACUAUAAAAUAUAAAUACAAGUGCAAACUUUAAAAUAAAAAUACAAAUACAGUUGUAUCAAUAAAUACAAAAAUAGAAAUGACGGUGUGAUUACAAAUACGAUAAAGAAUUGUGGUAUUUACGUUAUCAUCCAUGACUUGUGCUUGACUAGUCAUAUUUUUUGAAAAUACAAAAAUACAAGAUAGAACAAAAAAAAUAAUAAAGAAAAUAAGUACAAAAAUGAAAAAAAAAUCAAAGAACAAAUGAAAAGAAAAAAGAGAAAUAGAAGUUAGAGAUUAAAGAGAGGAAAAAAUAAAAAGAAAGAAACAAAAAAAUAAAAGUAGGAAAAAAUAGAAAAAGAAGAAGAAAAAAUGGGAAAAACAUAAAAAAUAAAAAAAUAUAAAAAAAAAUAAUGGUAGUGUUAGGCAAGAAAAUAUUCAGUUCAACGAGAUAAGCGUGAUUAGAAUUUUUUUCUUUUUAAAAAUAUUGAAUUCCAUUUUUGGUGCGUCUAAAUAGGGACUGUAUUCAUAUUUUAUAUGAAUACAUACUAUCUGUAAAACCAAAUACAAUGGGUAUAAAUCAAAUACAACGGUUAUAAAUGGUAAUUAUGUAAAAUGUGGCUAUGAAAGGUGGGUUUUAUAGCAAAAUGCUGCUAUUUUUGAAAGAUCUCCUAAUUUUAAUACAUAUUUACAACUUAAUUCAUAAUUAAAUAUGAUAAAUUAGUACUUAUAUUUAAUAUAAAUAAUAUAUCUUUAAAUACGGGUAUUAUUGGUAGGAAGAAGACAAGAGAAUCUCAUGAUGGUAAAAGCCUAUGCAAAGAUUUCCAAAAUCAAGAAUUGCUUCAAAGGAAGGGUGGGCAGUCUCUUUCAUAUCCAAAAUGGAUCUUAAUUUCUCUGUUUUAUGUCAUUGGUUGUCGGCCUAAUAGGAGAUGGGUCGUAGAAUACACAAGAAAAUAGAGUGAGACUUAUUUCUUUAGCAAUUUAAGCUAUAAGCCUUAGGAUGGUUGGGGUCGCAAAUUAAGUGUUUGUAUAAUAUAUCACAAUAAUUAAAUUACAAUUGGCUGAGGCACAGAUAUCUCGCUCUUUUUAAGGAGAUUCAAGCCAACUACGGCAUAAUUUACAUUGAUCCAGCAGUAUAUCUCUUGACUUGUUCCCUUCAAGAUACAAUAACCCAUCAACGAUGUAAAACUCAAGCAACUCCAUAUUAGUUGCAGAGUCCAAAACUCCACCAUAAGAACACCUUCUUUCAACAUAUGUUUACUCUCUUUGUAUAGUGAAUAUAGUUAAAGACUUAGAAUAUUUUCUUUGUUUCAACUCUUUCUUUCACUAAUAUAAUUACUCUUUUUUGUAUAGUGAAUAUAGUUUUAGACUUAAAAUAUUUUCUUUGUCUCAACUCUCUCUUUUACUACUAUGCACUAUAAAUUUUUUCACACUUAUCAUAUUUCCUUGUACAUGCAAUAACAUGCAAGACCACCUCUAUUUAUACAUGAAAUAUUCAUCCUUGUAUUGAAUAUGAAGAAUAAUGAGGGGUGGUAAAGAGGAAAGAUUAAUAGUCUUUAGGCUACAAGAGUUACACGAAACUAGUGGCACUAAUAGCCAUGAGAGUUACAACAAAAUAAUGAGAGAAUUUACAAAUAACUAAAGACCACAUUCUACCACCAUUAACAAAUAGAGUAAUGUGGGCAGAUAAAUAGUCUUCUUGUUACAUAUGUUACAUGCAAAUAAUGACCAUAGAGUUACAACAACUAAUGGUCAUAUGAGUUACAAGACAUAAUUUGGUAAAUUAUGGACAAAUAAAGUGUUAGAAGUUACAAGAGUUAUCAAAAUAUAGUUACCCACUUUCUCCACUUUAUUUCCAUAAAUUAUCAUUCAAAUUAAGAUUUUGAUAUUAAAAUGCAUAUUUAAACCAAUAUUAAGUUAUCUCAAAAUUAUUUCUUCAAUGCAAAAUGAUGAGGGAAAGAUUUUUGGGAGGGUCGAACCCCUAACCAUGCUUAAAUAGUAUGCCCGAUUUAAGGAUUAUAAUUUAGAGGUUCCUUCAUUGCAAUCUAUCCCGGUGGUCUGUGAGUUUACCGAAGCGUUACCCAAUGAUCUUCCUAGUGUUCCUCCUGACAGGGAAAUUGAUUUUGGGAUUGAUUUUCUUCCAGACACUCGGCUUAUCUCUAUCCCUACCUAUAGAAUGGCUUUGGUUGAGUUGAAAGAACUUAAGGAGCAGUUGAAAGAACUUCUUGAUAAGGGUUUUAUCCCUCCUAGUAUUUCCUCGUGGGGUGCUCCUGUGCUCUUCGUGCGUAAGAAGGAUGGGUCCUUUCGAAUGUGUAUAGAUUAUCGCUAGUUGAAUAAGGUGACAAUGAAAAAUAAGUAUCCUUUUUUUUAGGAUUGAUGACCUAUUUGAUUAGCUUCAGGGUGCUAAGUACUUCUCUAAAAUUGACCUUUGAUCGGGUUAUCAUCAGUUGAAGAUUAGGGAGGUGGAUAUCUCUAAGAUAAUUUUUUGAACUCGGUAUGGUCAUUUUCAAUUUUUGGUGAUGUCCUUCGGUUUGACUAAUGUGCCGACAAUGUUUAUUGAUCUUAUGAACUGGGUAUCCCAUCAGUUUUUGGACUCAUUCAUCAUCGUGUUUACUGAUGACAUUUUGGUUUAUUCUAAGAGUGAGGAAGAUCAUCUCCUAGUAGUGUUGUAGACCUUUAAGGAGUAGUGAUUGUAUGCUAGAUUCUCUAAGUGUGAAUUUUGGUUGAAUAUUGCGACCUAUUUAUGUCAUGUUGUAUCUAGUGAGGGGAUCAUGGAAAAUUCACAAAAGGUUGAGGCAGUUAAGAAGUGGCCUAGACCCACAACUCCAAAUAACAUUCAAAGCUUCUUGGGCUUGGCUAGAUAUUAUAGGAGGUUUGUGAAAAGUUUCUCUUCUAUUGCUGCCCUAUUAUCUAAGUUGACUUAGAAAAAGAUAAAGUUCUUGUAGUCGGAUACUUGUGAAUGUAGUUUUGAGAAGUUGAAGGAUAAGUUGACUUCAGCUUCGAUUUUGACUCCUGAGGGUACCAAGGGUUUUAUGGUUUAUUGUGAUGCCUCCCAUAUGGGACUGGGCUAUAUGUUGAUGUAGUAUGGUAUGGUUGUGGCCUAUGCUUCUAGUUAAGAGUUCAUGAGAAGAAUUACCUGACACAUGACUUAGAAUUGUUGGCUGUGGUCUUUGCUUUGAAGAUUUGGCGCCAUUAUUUGUAUGGGUUUCAUGUUGACAUUUACUCUGAUCAUAAGAGCUUGCAGUAUGUGUUCACCUAGAAUGAGUUGAAUCUUAGGAAAAUGAGAUGGCUUGAGUUUCUUAAGGAUUAUGAUAUGAGUCUUCACUAUUAUCCAGGUAAAACUAAUGUGGUUGCUGAUGCUCUUAGAAGGUUAUGUAUGGGAAAAUUAUCUCAUGUAGAUGAGGAGAAAUUAGAAUUGGUGAAGGAUAUUCACUGGUUUUCUAAUCUUGGAGUCCAUCUCUUAGACUCUGAGGAUGGAGGUAUGUUAGUGCAAGAGGUGGUGAAGUCAUUCCUUAGUGCUGAGGUGAAAGAAAAACAAGUUUUGGACCCCAUUUUGAUGCGGAUUAAGGGUGGCGUGGGCUACCAGAAAGUGAUGGUUUUUAAGAUUGGUUGUGAUGGUGUCUUGAGAUACCAAGGUAGGUUGUGUGUACCCGAUGUUGAUGGGAUGCGAGAGAGGAUCUUGGUUGAGGCUCAUGAGUCGAGGUACACUGUUUAUCCUAGUUCAAUAAAGAUGUACCAUGAUUUAAAAGAGAUCUAUUGGUGGAAUAACAUGAAGCGAGAUGUGGCAAAUUUUGUGGCCAAGUGUAUGAUUUGUCAACAAGUGAAGGUGGAGCACUUGAGACCUGGUGGUUUUUUUUAAGAGAUUGAGUUGACCGAAUGGACUUGGGAAGUGAUUAAUAUGGAUUUCAUUGCUGGUCUUCCACAUUCCCACUAUCAAUUUAAUUUUAUUUGGUUCAUCGUGGACAGGACGACUAAGUCCGCUUGUUUCCUACCUAUAAGGACUAAUGAGGGUUAUUCAAAGUUGUUCAUUUAGGAAAUCAUCAAGUUGCAUGGUGCGCCCUUUUAUAUUAUAUCUGAUCGUGGUACUUAGUUCUCCUUACACUUUUGACAUUCUUUCUAGAGAGGUUUGAUGAAUAAAGUGAAUCUUAGCACCACUUUAUACCCUCAGAUGUAUGGACAAGCGGAGAAGACCAUUCAGACUUUGAAGGAUAUGCUAAGGUCUUAUGUGUUUGACAUUAGUGGUAGUUGGGUUGAUCAUUUUCCCCUCAUAGAGUUUGCUUAUGAUAAUAACUAUUACACAAGCAUUGGGAUAACUCUAUUUGAGGCUUUGUAUUAUUGGAUACGUCGUUCUCCUAUUGUGUGGUUCGAGGUUAGUGAGGCUGGGUUGUUCGAUCCUUUUUUCGUUCAUCAGGCUAUAGAGAAGGUGAAGUUGAUCUAGGAUAGAGACCAUCCAAAGUCACCAAAAGUCCUAUACGAACAUGAGGCAAAGGGAGUUGGAAAUUGAAGUUGGCGAUUGGGUGUUCUUGAAGGUGUCUCCCAUGAAAGGAGUGAUACGGUUUGUAAAGAAGGGUAAGCUCAGUCCUUGUUAUGUGGGACCUUAUUUGAUUUUGAAGAGAGUGGGUAAUAUGGUUUAUGAGUUAGAGUUGCCUCCCUAUUUGGGUUUCAUUCACCCAGUUUUCCAUGUUUUGAUGUUAAGAAAAUGUGUGGGUGAUCCUUCCUUGGUAGUUCCUUUAGAGAGUGUUGGAAUUUUAGAUUACUUGUCUUAUAAGGAAGUCCCGAUUGAGAUUUUGGAUCGGCAAGUCCAUCGGCUGCAGACAAAAGAUAUGGAUUUGGUAAAGGUUCUUUGGAGGAAUCAUAAAGUUGAAGGAGCUACUUGGGAAGUUGAAGAGGACAUGAAGUCCAAAUACCCUUUCUUGUUCCCUAUUUCGGAUACUUGUGCUUAAGGUAAGUGUUAAUCUUACCAUCUUUGUUUUCUAACUUUUUUAAAGGAAAUUGUGAUUUCCUUGACAUCUUUGUUUUUUUUUCUUUGUUAAAGGUAAGUGUGGGUGUGUUUCUGCGUAAAGUCGUGCUAAUAGAUGCCUUGACCCAUCAUUCGAGGACAAAUAAUCCUAUUAGGAGGGGUGAGGAAGAGGGAGAAUGUGAUGCUCAAGGUAUUGGCCACUGAAAAUUCUAAGUCUUUGAACUUACUGUCCUAACUAUUACUCACCAUAUGAGUUGUAAUUUGUCACUGUGGGUCAUAGGACCCCAAUUGUAGGGUGUCCAGUAAAGGUAGCCUAAGUUACUGUCCUAAUUACGAGUGGCUCCUAACAAGUCGUAAAGACUCUAAAUGAAUCGUAUGGUCCCAUCCGUAGCCAAACCAGUGUGUUACUCAAGUGUUUCUAUCUUGAAUACGACUUGGACCCUAUGAGUCUUAGGGUUGCUUGACGAGUCAUAUGGUGUGAAUCGUAGGAUCACUAGAGAAGGGUCCUCCAGCUACUAUCUUGAUUACGACUCAUAGUGAUGAGCCAUAACAUGUCCUUAUGAGUCGUAUAUUGACUCGUCGUCACUGGCGAUAAUUUUUCAGCUUUUAGUUAAGGACACUUUGGCCAUUUUCCUUUUUUCCAAAUCAUGACCCACGACUUAAAACCCCUUUAGGGAGUCAUUAUUACUCCAAAACAAAUUGAAAUAACUUCUCAAUCACUAUAAAUUCUCUAAGGUCAAUAUACUUAGGAUUUUCAAGAAGUUGAUCAAUUAGAGAUCCUAAGGGCAAAUUCUCUCCAUUACUCUUGAUAUUUUAGGUAUAUUACUUUUCCCAACGGUUAGUUUGUGAAAUCAUAUGUUUUAAAUAGUUAUCCAUGUGGUUUUGAUGUUAGUUUUGGAACAUAGGUUGAGGGUUUUGGAUGUUUGUUUUGAAUAAUGUUUCCCAUGGUUUACAUAAGAUUGUUCAUGAUUUAUCUAUGGUUUUUGAACUUGUGGGGGUGCAUCAGCAUGGUGAAAAAACUAAGGGACAGUGAUUUCCCUAAAUUUUGUGAUUAUUGACAAUUGAAUUGGUAUUAACCCCCAACCCAAUUUUGUGAAAAGUGGUUUUGAGCAUGAUAAUAUAGCAUUGGACUACUUUCGGAACAAUUGCAUGAUGUAAAGAUGUUAUUAAAAUAUGACAGUUUGAUUAAUGAACAAAGGGAGUUUUUCUUCCGAGUUAAUGGAAUUGAAAUGACAUGUUGAUGUUACCUUGCAAGUGUAGUCGUUAUGACGAUACCAAGAGUGUAUGCCUGAAUGUGUAUUAUGGUUCAAUGAAUGGGAAUGUGUGAUAAAAUUUUUAAUGGGUCUUAAAUAGGGUUGUGUAGAUGGACAGUGAAAGUGGCGGUCCCGAGGGACCAAAACUGGAAACCACAUUUUUAGGCGCGAGGGUCUAAAUGGCCUGGAGUUCGAGUCCCCUUUCUUAUGACCGGGUGGUUAGAGUCCCCUUUAUUAUAUGAUUGGGAGGUUCUAGUCCCCCAUAUAACAUUACAUGAUCGGGUGGUUAAGUUAGUUUGGUAUAUUAUUGGGAGGUUCGAGUCCCCCAUGCAUAUAUAUAAUAUUAUUCUUUGGUUCAUGUGGCUACUCACACUGGGGCCUGAUCAGGGGGUGAGAGAUUGAUCCCAUAUAGCCCGUGGGUACUGAUAUAUGAUGGUUAAGAUACACAACCCAGAUUAAGAUUUAAAAAAUGCAUGUUAAGCCUUAUUCCCUAUCCCAGCAUUUUAUAUAAGUAUAUAUGUAUUCACACAUGUAUAUGAACAUGUACAUUGAGUUGAACUGGAUUUUUGAAUUAACAUUAUUUUAUCCUUAUCCCUGAAUUACAUGUUAGUGCUCAACCUACUAAUCGUCUUCGGACACUAUAUCCCUACGUGAUAUAGGGUCCGAAGACAAUCCUACUUUUCCUGCGCAUUGUUGGUGGAUCACCUCGAUUCGUUGAUCAUUUUUAGUGAAGUGGUGAGCUUCUAUUCUUCGGAAUACUUGAUCAUUCCAUCGGUUUCUUUUCAUAAACUAGAAUUAAAGAGUUCAUAUUAACAUUGUCAUUAUCAGGGUCGAGGGCAUAUCUCGACUUAGAUUAUUUUUGGAUUAGUAGUGGCUUUAUAGUUAUUACUAUGGAUUGGGUAUUGUUGUUGACAUUAUUAGAUGUCUUUGAGUUUAUUACAUUUCUAUCUUGUUAUAUUUUUGUGUUUCAACCACUCCUAGGGGUGUUGUAUCCCAUUUGGCUAGGCAAAGGGGGUGGUCCCCGGUCCUCGAUAACUUGGGAUGCCCAUCACGGCCAGGCCCUGGUUCAGGUCGUGAUAGUAUCGCUUAAGUCACACUUUUCUACUUAAGUGGUGUCGGCUUAAGCGACCCAGUGUCCGCUUACACGAUGCCUGGGUGGUUUAAAUGCCUUAUUUUCUCAAAUUUUCACUAUUUUUAUACUUGGAGCUUUGGGUUUUAGAUUUUUUGGGCGAUUUCUUCUAUUUUCAAGCUUGGGUAAGCUUCAAAUCCCUAUUUCAAUUAUUUUUCUUCUAUUCUUGUCUUUUAAAGCUUGUUAAAACUCGAUUUCAAAAGUGAAAUUUGGGUAUUUUAGCCUGGAAGGCCUAAAUUAGAAAUUCUUCGAUUGAAACCCUAAUUUCAACCCAUUUUCACUUGGGUUUUCUUAUAUGUCUUCCUUUAAUCACGGCUAAUGUAUUUUGAACUGAAAAUUUAAUUUUACCCUUCUUUUUUCGAAAAUCCAUUUCAGUGGUCCGUUUUGAUCCCGACCAAACAAUGGGAAAUAUAAAUAUCGUUGGCAUUUUUUAUGCGUAGAUUCUAUAUUUGUAUAUUUUAGUUAAUUCUGUGUUCAUUCGUGAGGGGAAGGAUCCGUGUUGAAGGUUGUCGGACUGAGUUUUCUUCAUUUGAGGUAGGUUAUGGCUUAACUUUCUUCAGAUUGGGCUGGGUAGUUAAUAUUGAUAUUUAAACAUAUUAUGGGUGUGGGAACUAAUCAUGGAAAUGACUUUAUUAUUAUUUGUGCAUGUGUGAGGGCCUAUUUGUGCAUGUGUCGGGGCGUAUAUUGUUGUUAAUGGUUUUGAGACAUUAUUUGCUAUGCAUGGCCGUGCAGGAUCUUAUGUGAUUUGACUGACACACCCCUAAACCAAGCCAUGUUGUAUGGGAACCUCAAGCCCACAUGAACCAAAGGUCACCCCAAUAACCCAUCAUAAUCAUCACAUCAAUCACAGGGGUCGGCUAAAUCCUGAUUGCAUAAUAAGAUAGCGGAAGCAAUACUAGAAGUUGCAACUUAACAAUGUCUAACCAUUUCAAAAAUAUCAACACACUAACCAGUAUACCCAAGUCCACAGUUAUCCAUAAUACCUCUAUACAAAUCGAUGUUUAGAAAUAUAUAUGUUGGGACAAGCCCCCGACAAUAACCAAACCAAGUCAAAAUAAGACUAAGUCUAAAUAUUGGGGAUCAAGAAUGAAUGUCUUCCGAAAUAAGAAAGCUCACAACUCCAUAGUCAAUCACGAACCGCUUCGAUCACCUAAUCACUGCGCAGGAAGAGAAGAUAAUGCUCCCGUCCCUAGUCGUGUGAGGACAUAGUGUUCAACAUGGUUAGCAGUUAGCGCGCUAGCAUGUAACUCAAGGAUAAGGAUAAAAUAACAUCAUUAUUCAACAAGAAGUCAAUAUAUCAUAUUCAAUAAUAUCCACACACUUAUCCAUACAUAUAGGUAUAUCACUUGCUAAUCAAGAAAUCAAGGCUCAACAACAUUCUUGAACAUUCAUUCAUUAGACAUGAAGUGGAGGACUCCGACCUUCCAUACUUAGCUUAGACAAUUCUAUUUAGGACUUUAACCAUGCUUACACAUUCAUUAGACAAGAACUUUAACUACAUACAUAAUUAUUCAAAAAAGAGACUCUAACGACACACUCAUUCCUCUAGGCAAGGGACUUCAACCUCAUGCCCGUUUAUUAGACAAGGGACUCUAACCUCAUGCGAAGGGACUCUAACCGCAAGCCAUUUCAUUCGGCGAGGUACAUUAACCUCCAAAGAUCUCUUCAUGCAAGGGACUUUAACCUCGAGCAAUUUCAUUGGGCAAGGGACUCCAACCUCAAGCCAUUUCAUAAGGAAAAGGAAUUCAACCUUAAGCCAACACAACUAUCAUUAGUUGAUAUUGGGACUUUAAUCUUUUUCCCAUGCAUCAACAUUCAUUUCAUACAAUACUAAAGGACUUUAACUAUAUAACUUAUUCAACACUUUACAUGACCCCAUGGUCCUUAUGACAACCUUCAUUGCUCAACCAUUUCAAUAGGCCGUUGCCUCCAUUCAGUCCAUUAUACAAUUCAAGUUAUGGUCAUAAAUACCCUCAUAACUAUUCAUAUUUCAUUAACCAUCUUACACCACAUUCUCACCACACUUGGUUCAACACACAAUUCAAAUACAUUAUCAUGUUUAGGGAAUUCAACCCCUUAUUAGUCAAUUGACCCAACAUGGUCCUAAAUUAUACAAUAUGUAGCUCACAAUACUUUUAACACACCAUUCAUCAAUCAUUCAUACUUAUUGGGCCAUUGCCCUAGUUUAAAACAUCACCAAUAUGUGACUAGAUAAUUCACUUAGACAUUUCCACAAAUAUCUUAUGUGCAUACCUUUAACAAGGCUAUUUUUAUGGUAGAAAUCAUCAAGGUUAGGGUUACUUAAGACCCUCAUGUUAAAACUCACACAAAAAGCACCCACAUAUGAAAAUAAUCAUCAUUAAUAUGUAUAAUCAUGAGUCUAAGCAAGAGUCAACAUUAUUCAUCAUUAGGCACCAAAACCCUUUUCAUUUGAUUUCAAAAUCACCAUGUACACUUGAUCAUCCAAGUCUAAAAUACAUGGGUUUAGAGUUAUUUAACAAGGGAAAGAUUUAUAUGACUUAAACAAGAUGAAUCACCAAGAAUAUUGACUCCCCUUUCCCUCGUAGAGAUCACCCUUGAAACCCUAAACUCCAAUUCUUUAAAAAAGAUAGAGUUUUGGAUGUUUGAUCCUCUCAAAGAAUGUUUAAGAAGGCCUUAUACACUUAUAUAGUGAAGUUACUUAGUUUUUAAGGUUUGGGAAAUGAUUACAAGGCUCUUAGUUAAAAGCUGUAAAAUAAACCUGUGCAGGGGUAUGACUCACCUUACGAACCGUACCCUAGGGUACGAGUGGUACCCUGCCUUGUACCCUAGGCUUUUUCUAGGUCACCCACACUAUUAAUGGUAUAAUUACACACCCUUGAGUUGUAUCCAAACGGUACGACUCAGCCCUUAACUCGUACACACCACCCGUACCUAAAAUAGUCCACUCAAUCUAGGACAUCCCUCUAUACGAUCAUGUUGGGUACGACUCAUAUACUUAGGGUACGAUUGAGGAGGAGGGUCACUCGUACCUUGGACAAUGAGUAACCCUUACCACACUGCCUAAGACAUGAUAGGGGAGGGGAAGAAGGAUACAACUCAUAUCUAAGGGGUAAAACUCGUGCCCCUAGUCGUACCCAUCCAGUGACAUCGAAUAGAGAGUUUGUUUUAAUGGUUCAAAGUCUAAGUAUUUCAAUUAUCCCCCACUUGGAUCAGUCGGCCGUGAAUGAUAGGUAGGGCAAGCAAUAAACACAAGCUAACAUAUCAUCACACAUCAAAUCGACCUUUAAACAAGUUAGAACAAGCAUACAACAAGGAUAUAACACACAUCAUGAUAUUUAUCAAUCAAUCAUUCAUCUUACUAUCUUCGGGACUCAAACCCAUUAUUUAUCAAGACACUUGUUCAUUGCAAAGCUUAGGGACUUAAACCCUUACUUAUCAACACUCACUCAUUUCAAAACUUAGGGACUUCAACCCAUAGAUUUAUCAAGGAUACUUUCCUAAUUCAAGGAUUAAGGACUCGAACCCUUCAUUUACCAAAGGCAUAAAUCAACUCAGGAUACUAGGGACUUAAGCCUAUCGCAACAAGACACACAUAAUUUCAAAGCAUUAGGGACUUGAACCCAUGGUCUAAGAAGACACAAAUCAACUUAACACAUUGGGGACUUUAACCCAUUGUCUAUAAAGACAUAAAUAAAAGCAAGGAGAUCAACAUAUACCUCCAUCCUAAGUUUUCAAAAUGGGAAACAAAUGCGUGUACUUGGAAUUCAUGUCCUCUUUCGAUUCCCACGAAGCUUCCUUAAAAUUUUGGUUUCUCCAUUGAACCUUCACCGAAGCCACCUCUUUUGUUUGCACCGGCGAACUUGCCGAUCCAAGAUCCUUACCAAGAUUUCCUCACAGGACAAAGAGUCUGAGAUAUUAACAUACCUUAAGGGAAUAACCAAUGUCAGAUCACCCAUACAUUUUCACAACAUAGAGACAUAGAAAAUUGGGUGAAUGAAGUUCAUACUAGAAGGAAACUCCAACUCAUAAACAAUAUUGUCAACCCUCUUCAGGGGCUAAUAUAUCGGGGUCUAAGAUUUCUCUUCUUACCAAAUUGCAUUACUACCUUUAUGGGAGACACCUUCAAGAAUAACCAAUCACCAACACUAAACUCUAAGUCCCUACGCCUCAUAUCCACAUAGGACUUUUGGCAACUUUGAGUGAUUUUUAACCUAUCAUGAAUCACCUUCACCUUCUCUAAUGCUUGGUGAACUAAAUCGGGGCCAAGUAACUUACCCUUUCCAACUUCAUACCACCCAAUAGAAGAUUGACAUCUCCUACCACACAAUGCCUUGAAUGGGGCUAUGCCAAUACUAGAUUAGUUACUAUUAGUACAGGCGAACUCAAUCAAAGGCAAAUGUCUAUUCCAAUACCACCAUAAUCAAUCACACAAGCCCCGUAACAUAUUAUCUAAUGUUUAGAUAGUCCUUUUCUCUUGCCUAUCCGUUUACGGGUGAAAGGCGGUACUAAGGCAUACUCUAGUACCUAAACUUUUAUGGAAUAACUUCCAAAAGUAGGAUGAAAAUGGAGGACCACGAUAUGAGAUAAUGAAAACUAAAGCACCGUGCAACCUCAUGAUCUCCACAAGAUACAAAUUCACAUAAUCUUUUGUUGAGUAAUUUGUCUUCACGGGAAAACAAUUAGCGGACUUGGUCAUUCUAUAAACAAUGACCUAAAUAGAAUCGUAUUGAUUUCGAGAUUUAGGGAGAUCAAUAACGAAAUCCAUAUUAAUUUCCUCCCACUUCCAUUUGGGUAAUAUAAUUUCUUGGUACAACCCACCGGGCCUCAUGUGCUCAACUUUUACUUAGUGACACACUAUACACUUGGCCACAUGGCUAGCCACAUCACGUUUUAUAUUUCCCCACCAAUAAAACUCUCUAAGGUUGUGAUACAUUUUGGUGGAACCUGGAUGUAUAGCACAUCGAGAUUCAUGAGCUUCGGUCAUGACCCUUUCCCACAAUCCAUUAAUAUUGAGAACACAUAGUCUACCUUGGUAUCUCAAGAAACCAUCACCACCAAUCACAAAGUCCGCAACAUUGUAUCGACCACAUUACUCUUGAUCUUCAUUAAGUCAUGGUCUAGAGUUUGCCUCUCCUUUAUCUUAACAACAAGAGAUUACUGAGAUACCAAAAGCACAAAUACACCACCAUCCUUAGAGUCCGCAAGUAUAACUUGAAGAUUAGCCAAAAGGUGAACGUCCUUCACCAAUUCUCGAUUAUCCUCAUCUACAUGGGCCAAACUUUCCAUGGACAAUCUACUAAGAGCAUCGACGACCACAUUCACUUUACUGGGAUGGUAAUGAAGACUCAUAUCAUAGUCUUUCAAUAACUCAAGCCACCUUCUUUACCGGAGAUUUAACUCCUUUUAGGUAAAUACAUAUUAGAUACCCUUAUGAUAAAAAAAGAUAUCGACAUGAACCCUAUAAAGAUAACGCCACCAAAUCUUUAACAAAAAAACCACAGCUAAUAACCCUAGGUCAUGAGUAGGGUAAUUUUUCUCAUGAACUUUCAAUUGCCUUGAAGCAUAGGUCACAACCCUACCAUGUUACAUCAACACGCAACUGAGACUGAUAUGAGAAGCAUCAAAAUAUACCACGAAACCAUCACUACCCUCGGGCAAGGUCAAAACUAGAGCCGAAGUCAACUUAUCUUUUAAUUUUUCAAAACUACCCUCACACGCAUCCUACCAAAAGAACUUGAACCUCUUUUGGGUCAACUUGGUCAAUGGGGUAGCUAUAGUAGAGAAACUCUGCACAAAUAUUCUAUAAUAAUCGCCUAGACCCAAGAAAUUCUGAAUAUUAAUUGGAGUCAUAGAUCUAGGACACUUCUUAAUCACCAUAACUUUUUGGGGAUCUACCAUGAUCCCUUCAUUAGAGAUUCACUAGAGAUGACAUGUCCAAGAAAAGCUACGACUUUCAACUAAAACUCACACUUGGAUAACUUGACAUACAAAUGAUGAUCCUUUAAAGUUUACAGCACUGCACGGAGGUGAUCGACUUGAUCCACAUCAUUCUUAGAAUAGACUAAGAUGUCAUCAAUAAAGACAAUGACAAACAUGUCUAAGAAUAGUUGGAAGACCCUAUUCAUCAAGUCCAUGAAUUCCGUCGGGUCAUUGGUCAACCCAAAAGACAUGACAAGAAUCUCAUAGUGACCAUACCGAGUUCUAAUUGCAGUCUUAGGGAUAUUCACAUCCUUAAUCUUAAGCUGAUGAUAACUCGAUAUAAGAUCAAUCUUAGAGAAACACUUCACACCCUAAAGUUGAUCAAAAAAAUCAUCGAUCCUAAGAAGAGGAUAUUUAUUCUAUAUGAUUACUUUGUUCAACUGAGGAUAAUCAAUGCACAUACGAAGGGAACCAUCCUUUUUUGUGCAUGAAUAACAUGAGAGCACCUCACGAAGACACACUAGGGAGGGUAAAACCUUUAUCUAAGAGGUAUUUUAAUUGAUCCUUAAGAUCUUUUAGAUCCACCAAAUCUAUUCUAUAAUGAGGGAUAGAAAUCGGAUGACUGUCCUGAUGUGUAAGUAGAAGAUAACACAUUUAAGGCUUUUAACUGAGAAUAAUUGCAAAGUCUUAAGCAACUUUUGUAAUUUUUGAGAGUUUUAUCUUUGAUUUUGCAGUAGAAGCUAAGAUGCUAGAUAACAACAAGGAUAAAAGCAAAAGAGUUGAAAUCUGAAGCAAAAAAAAAAGUGUGGCUGACGACAUUCUUGAUAAGUCGUCAGCCCUGUGAUAAGUUAUCAGCUUCAUCGUCAGCCUUAGAUAGAGAAUGAAUCUCAGCUGAAAGUUAUGAUGUUAAUUUGUGAUAAGCCAUCAAGGAGUUGAUAGGUUGUCUAAAUUGUCUUCAGUCUAAGGCAGAACAUGAGAGCUGAGGUAGAUAAGUGACGACAUUUAUUAUAAUUCAUCAAAGAUGUGAUAAGCCAUCACAGUUCAUCAUCAGCCUAAGGCAGCAAAUGUCGAAAUCAAAGAGGAGCUGACGACAUUUGUGAUAAGUCAUCAGCCUCCUGUUAAGGCAUCAUGAAUGGCGUCACCUGUCCGACACUCUAUGAUUUUGUUUUCAUAAUUAGGGUGAACUAUUUAAAGCAUUGUUUAGGAUUUUCUAAGGAGUUCCGAACAUCUUUUGGAGACACGUAUUUUGUUACUUUUCUCUCUAGUUUCUUAGAUUGAAAAACAAUUAAUCUUGAAGAGAUUUCCAUUAAUACUUUAGGGAUUCCUAUUGUGAUCUAAUCUAAGAAUCACUAGUUAUUAUUUAUCUUGUGGUAAGUUUAUCUUUCAAAUCAUAAAUACAACUAGCUAUGUCAAAUUUUGCAUUAUGAGUGGCUAAAUCCCUUUGACCCGAAUCAUGGGAUCUAGGGGUAAGUCUUGAUAAGAUGCUAAGUGUUCAAGAUUCGUAAGGUAAUAGGAAUCCUUGAUAAUUCUGAGAUUUUAAUUAUCGUCUAUUGGUUACAAACAAUAAAUAACACCUUCUUUGAUUUGCUUGAGAUAAGAAAUCAAUUAUAGUAGGAAGUGAAUUAUCAAUAGGAACUUGGAAGCACUAAAAACUUCCAUUUAAUAAUUAACGCUGUAACAAGGUUGAUUAACCUGAGGUAAAGUCUGAUCAGUGAAUAUAAAUUUCCUUAGUUUGAGCGGAUUAGGUAAUUAAAUGCUUAAUUCUAUCAAGAGAUAUGUAGGCAUAACUUCGAUAAAGAUAAUCUGUUGUCUUACCUACUAUGAGCAUCUUGAAUCACUAUUCGCAUUUGUCAAGUACCAAAACCCCUAGUGAACAUAAUUCUGGUUUUUCAUAAACUCUUGAUUACAAACACCGAAGCUAAAGUGACCAAUAAUUAUUUGUUAAUCUCUAAAACCCUUAUUUUAUAUUUUUAUUUCAUCUAUUUGAAUUCAACUCAUAGCUAUAGUUUCAAAUUAGUUUAAUCGCCACUCAUAUUGUUCCCUGUGGAUUCGACCCUGACUCCAAAAGUUAGGUAAAUAUACUAAUGACGACCGCCUUGCACUAGAUUGACGUGUAAGUUGAGCGUUAUAAAAAUUAGCGCCGUUGUCAGGGAUCAAUUUAGCGUAUUGCGUUGGUUUUGAAUUUUAUCCUACUUGCUUGAAUCCAAACUUGUAAAUAUUUGUUUUUUAUUUUUUUUAUUUCUUGUGUUAGGUAGAUUUUUAUUUUUGUUUACUUAUUACUAUGGCAUCGUGGAGUAAACAUGAGCUUGGUGGUUGGAAAUCUUAUCUUGAUGAUUCAUGUCCAUAUUGUGAUGGACCUCACUUUUGGAAAGAUUGUAAAUAUGCUCCCCGGAGAGAGAUAUGUGCACCAUCUCCAUCCUACCAGGAGUAUGAUUGUUCUUUAUGUGGUGGUCAAGAUGGACAUUGGAGUGAUUUCCUAAAUACCCCUUUCCCCUAUUGCGCUAACCCAAAUUCUAGUUCUUUUUAUGAGUUUGAUAUAUCUUAUGGUCUAGAAAAGAAAGAACAAAGCACCAGAAAGAGUGGUAUUGAAGUUAUGCUUCAACUAAUGUUGGAUCAUAUGGACACAACGAAUGAUAUCAUAUACGAUAUAUGUCAAGACAUUAGGGCAUUUAACAAGGAAAGAGAAAGGAUAGGGGAGAUGGAUAUUGAGGUCAAUUAUCCAAAGCACUCUUCUACAUUAUGUUUAGAUGAUAUCUUGUCUAUAAACUCAUUUAGACUAAUCAAAGAGUAUGAAUAUGAGGAGCAAGAAUUCUAUACUGAUGAUGAGCUUGAUGUUGAUCAACCCUUGGAGAUUUCCCAACCAAUCGAACCAACCAUGAGGGAUGAUGCGAAGAUUGGGGAAAUGGUGCUAGAGGAAAAAAAAGAAAUCAAGCACAAUCCUUGUGAAGACUCUAGUCCAUUUUGGGAUAAAGAUACUAAUAGGGAUGCUACUCCAGAAGUAAGAAUUAGUCCUCAUUCGAACCACUUUUCAACAUUAUGCUUGGUGAAUGCAAUGAAAGUCGAAUCACCCAAGCAAAUGAUAAAUUUUGAAAAUGAGAAGGAGAAUUCUUACAUUUUAGAGUUUAUCUUUCCAAAAAGGUAUACCAAAACUCCAAUCAUAAAAGUGAAGAAGCCUAAAUAUCGAUGUCCAUUUAGUGGAUUUUUAAAAUCCUCACUGCUUCUCAAUGAGCCCACGUGAAAGUUUGAUGCAAAAUUGGGCAAGCGGUUCAACUUUUCAAAGUGGAGUGAUAGAACAUUCUUUAUCAUGCCCUCACCUUUGGCCAACGGACCUAAAAGAAGUAAAGAUUAAAAGAUGAGCUGACAAUUCAAAUCGUCUAAGUGGAGGGAUAAAAGAUGAAGCACUUUCAAGGUAUCUUGAUGAGGUCUGAGUGGUUAUGAUAACCUGGUCAUUCCACGACAUUAAAUUACUCGCUAUUUGGGAGGCAACCCAAGGUAUUGGAUUGUUUGUAUUCGUAUUAUGUGAUUGACAUCAGAUCUUCACACCCAUGGUGCCACAAGUAUGUUUCUAACUCUCUUGUUUUGGUUUGACGUAUUGUGGAAAUUGCAUGAUUUUAAGUUGAGGGUGAGAUUACUUGUGGGGGUUGAUGUCCUCUUGAAGUUUUUGUUGCCAUACCUCUUUUCCCCGGAGUCUUAUUCCUAGUAGAGUCGGCAUGUUUAGGCGUAUUGUGGUUUGUUGUAGUAUUUUAUAGUUGACUAGGAGAAAUAUAAGUACCUAAGGCAGUUAACACGGUUUUGUUAUUCUGUGAACACCUCUCAAGUGGUCUAAUUCUUUAACUAUGUGAUUUGCAUCUAAUUGUGACCACUGUGCAUCUCUGUAUGGUAUUAGUUCUAGUGCCUUGAUAACCAUUGCUAAAUAAUUGAAUGAACCGGAUAAGUAGUAACUUGUGAUAUACUUGUGUGCCAUGUGUGUGUGAGAUUCUACUUAGUUUCCUUUGUAUGUUGAAUUCAGAACUUGCCCGGUUAAUCUUACCUAGGUUAAAGGAUAGGGGUUAGGAAAGGAUCAUAGGCCGUUUUGAUAUUAGCUCACUUUAGACUAAAUGACCUUCCCUCUAUGCAUAUAUCCCUUGAUCUUUAUUUUGAGCCUGAAUAGCCUAUUUCUUUUUAUGAUACCUAUCACCAUCCCAUUUUUAUAUCAUAAUGAACUUGUUUUGGCCCUGGUCCUCUUUGGACACUGUACACCUUGACUUAGGCAAAUGGCCUAAGUUGAGGGUGGCUAUUAUAGGGGUGGAUGAUGUAAAAUGAGUAGGAAGAAAGGUAAAGUAAAAGAAAAGAAUAAAAGUUGGGUGCAGUGGAAAAGUGAAAGAAAAGAAAGUUAUGAAAAAGAAAAAGUGAUUGUAGAAAAGACCGCACCUAUCCUGAAUAAGUGUGAUCAUGAAAAGAGAAGAAUAGAAAAAGGCUAAUAAGUGAAAUACCAAAAAGAUAGUGUAGUGUCAAGGAGGCUUAGUCACUUUAAAUAUCAUCGAGUAUCAUACCAACCCAUAGCCUACAUUACAAGCCAAAGAGAAGACCUAUAGUGAUCCUAGCUGACCUGUCUGAAGAUCGGGGUAAUGAAAAUAAAGGGAAAGCCUAUGGUAUUCGGUAUAAAUUGAUUGGAACUUCAUUCUUAGAGUGAGUGUAUUAUGAUUGUCCCCAUGGUUAUAUAUGUGAUGUCUGAUAUGAGAAAAAAGGGAUUUUUUUGUAGUGAGGGCACACUGAUUAUAUUGCUAGUUACUGACUUAUUUGGUUAGUGUAAACUUGAUAUAUGCAUGGUUGUGUUGAUGAGUUGGUUCCAUAUCUUGAUCCUUGUUUGUUGAAUUAUUGUUCUUCAAUAAUAUACACAUUUGUUCUUGAAUUGACUGACCUUGGAGAUGGUGAAGAUGUUUUGAUAUGAUAUAGAUGAUUGACUGCCAAAUGUACUUUGUAUUCUCUUAGUUGUAUUUGAUUUGCUUGAGGAUAAGCAAUUAUUUUAAGUUGAAGGUGUUGAUGUGUGAGAAUAUGCUAACACAUUUGAGGCUUUUAACUGAGAAUAAUUGCAAAGUCUUAAGCAAUUUUUGUCAUUUUUGAGUGUUUUAUUUUUUUAUUUUGCAGUAGAAGCUAAGAUGAUAGAGAACCAACAAGGAUGGAAGCAAAAGUGUUGAAAUUUGAAGCAAAAAGAAGAAAAGUAUGGCUGACAACAUUCCUGAUAAGUUGUGAGCCCUGUGAUAAGUUAUCAGCUUCGUCAUCAGCCUUAGACAAAGAAUGGACCUCAGCUGAAAGUUAUGAUAACAUUUUGUGAUAAGACGUAUAGGAUUUAAUAGGUCGUCAAAAUUUUCGUCAGUCUAAGGCAGAACAUGGGAGCUGAGGUAGAUAUGUGACCACAUUCAUGAUAAGUCAUCAAAGAUCUGAUAGUGCCAUCACAGUCCGUCGUCAGCCUAAGGUAGCGAAUGUCAAAAUCAAAGAGGAGCUGACGACAUUUGUGAUAAGUCAUCAGUCUCUUGAUAAGGCGUCAUGAAUGUCGUCACCUGUCCGAGAAAUUGCUGCACUCUAUGAUUUUGUUUCCAUAAUUAGGGUGAACUAUUUAAAGCAUUGUUUAGGGUUUUCUAAGGACUUUCAAACAUCUUUUGGAGACACAAAUUUUGUUACUUUUCUCUUUAGUUUGUUGGCUUGAAAAACAAUUAAUCUUGAAGAGAUUUCCAUCAAUACUUUGGGGAUUCCUAUUUUGAUCUAAUAUGAGAAUCACUAGUUAUUAUUCAUCUUAUGGUAAGUUUAUCUUUUAAAUCAUGAAUACAACUAGUUGUUUCGAGUUUUGCAUUAUGAGAGACUAAAUUGCUUUAACCCGAAUUAUAGGAUCUAAGGGUAAUCUUGAUAAGAUGCUAAGUGUUCAAGAUUCGAAAGGUAAUAGGACUCCUUGAUAAUUCUGAGGUUUUAAUUAUCGUCUAUUGGUUGCAAACAAUAAAUAACACCUGCUUUGAUUUGCUUGAGAUAAGAAAUCAAUUAUAGUAGGAAGUGAACUAUCAAUAGGGACUUGGAAGCACUAAAAACUUUCAUUUAAUAAUUGACGUUGUAACAAGAUUGAUUAAUCUUAGGUAAAGUCUGGUCAGUGAUUAUCAAUUACCUAAGUCCGAGAGGAUUAGGUAAUUAAAUGCUUAAGUAGGUCGAGAGACAUUUAGGCAUAACUUCGGUAAAGAUAAUCUGUUGUCCUACCUACUAUGAGAAUCUUGAAUCACUAUUCGCAUCUGUCAAGUACCAAAACCCCUGGUAAACAUAAUUCUAGUUUUUCCAUAAACUCUUGAUUACAAACACCGAAGCUAAAGUGACCAACAAUUAUUUGUUAAUCUCCAAAACCCCCAUUUUAUCUUUUCGUAUCAUCUGUUUGAAUUUAACUUGUAUUUAUAGUUUCAAAUUAGUUUAAUCGCUACUCAUAUUAUUCCCUGUGGAUUUGAUCCCGACUCCAAAAGUUGGGUAAAAAUAUUGAUGACGAUCGGCAUGCACUAGAUUGACGUGUAAGUUGAGCGUUAUCAAGUUCGGAACAAGAUCAAUCCCAAAAUUAAUUUCCCUAUCGGGAGAAACAUCGAGAAGAUCAUUAGGAAACACCUCAAAAAGCUCAUUAAACACCGGAUAGAUUCUAGAGAAAUCUCUUCCGAGUUAGAAUCUUUAACUUAGACCAGAUAAUACAAACACCCCUUUGAAAUUAACUUUUUGGCCUUUAGAUAAGAAAUGAAUCUUCCCUUAGGCACUAGGGAACCACUUUCCUAUACAAUAACUGGCUCAUUGGGGAAUCAAAACAUGACCCUACGGGUCUGACAAACUAAAGAAGCAUAGCAAAAGUGCAACCAAUCCAUCCCUAGAAUGACAUCAAAAUAAACCAUCUCCAACUCUAUCAAGUCUAAAGAGCAUCCCUACUACUAACUGAUAUCACCCACCCCUUAUGACCCUUCUAACAAUCACAGAGUCUCUGAUUUGGGUAGAAACAAAAAAAAAGAAACCGAUAGACUCUCGGUACCACACUCAAGAUACACAACCAUAUACAGGGUCACAUAAGAAAGAGUAGACCUUAGAUCAAGCAAACAAUACACAUCACGGGAGAAAAGUCUCAAUGUACCUGUGAUAACAUCGAGAGACGCCUCUGAAUCCCGAUGAGUAGCAAGUACAUAUAAGCGAUUUUGGCCAAUAACGGUGCCAAAAAUAGAAGUAGAGGCAAACAUAACACCUUUCGGUGCCUGGAGUAGAUGGCAUAGCAACAGGGUACGUAUUGGCCCAAGAAACUUCUAGAGAGGGGUAAUCAUACUGCAUAUGCCCAAUCUGACCAUAACUAAAACAUUUGUGCUUCCUUUUCUUACACUGACCAUGAUAAAUCUGACCACAAAAUCUAUAAGGAGCACGGGUAGAGCGGACUGGGUACCACUAGCCUCCAAUUGGGCACCCUGUUCCUAGGGUCCACCACUAACUGAUACCGAUAAUCUCCCAAAAACUUUAGGUAAGGAGAGAGAACACUAGCCGAGGAGAAAGAACUCAAACUCUCCUACUUCUUCUGUGCCCACUUACCCCCAUCACCACCACUAUGCUCAGAAGGCCUAUAUUUCUUUCCUUUUCCUCUUACUAUGAUCAACUUGCUUUUUUUCUCUUCUUCCACUUGUUGAAAAUACACAAUCAACCUAGAAAUAUCCAUGUUUUCAAUCAACAAGGCUGCCUUACUGUCAAGGACUAACUCACGGGAUAAUCUUGAGACAAACUUAUGCAUUCUAGUCCUUAUUAUAGAAACCAUCUUGGGAGCAUUCCUUGAUAAUUGUUUGAAUUUCAAGGCAUACUCUUGAACGGACAUCCUCUCUUGCUUCAAGUUCACAAAUAUUCCACCUUUGCCUUCCUCAACUCUUAAGGAAAGAAACGAUUUAAGAAAGCCUUAGAGAAGUCCUCCCACAUGGAAGGACUAGCAUCAACACCUAUAGACAACUCCAACCCUUCAUCCAUUGAUACACUAUAUCUUUUAAUUAGUAAGAAGCAAACUCAAUGGCCUCAAUCUCCAAAACAUUCAUAAUUUGGAAGUUUUUUUAUAUUUCAUCAUAGAAGCCUUGAGGAUCUUCUUCAACCUUUGUACCAAAGAACAUAGGAGGGAUAAACCUCAUAUAUUGGCCAAUUCUUAUGGCCUCAAAAGAAUCGGUAGCCAUAGAACCACUCUCUGAUUUAGAUGCUACCAAUUGAGUUAAGAGGUUGAUAGAGCAAUGAAACUCGCCAUUAGUAGCAUCCUUUUAAGGUGACAGAAUUGGAGGGUCGCUCUCAUAGUUGGGGUUGCUGGGGACAGGUGGAACCUCAUGAAGAUGGUCGGAUGCCGCAGCCCUAGCCCGAGUCUAAACUCCAAAAAUUGGAUGAGCUUCAUCCAUAGUGCCCUCAGAAGGGUUUGCCUGAGUCCCAGAUCUCCUUGGAGGCAUGAUAUGAAAGAUAGUAAACAGAAAUUAGAGGAAUCCAAGACCUUAGACUCUAUAGAUUGAGAUUGAAACGCGAAAAUGGAAAUAUUCCUUAAAAUGUUUCAUAGCUCCUCUUUUGUAAGUGUGGCGCACUUCAUACCCAUAAAAGAGAAUCUACUCAACUCGGUAUUGUGGACACCCAACUGACCAUAAAACUAGGCUCUGAUACUAAAUUGACAUGCCCUAAAAUUGGUCUAGGUCAUUUGGGAACCUCAAGACCACAUGAACCAAAGGUCUCUGUGAUAACCCAUCACUAUCAUCACAUCAAUCUCAAGGGUUGGGUAAAUCUCGACCGCAUAAUAAGAUAUAAAAAACAAUACUAGAAGUCAUAACUUAACAAUCUCUAACCAUUUCAUAAAUAUCAACAUACUAACCAAUAUACCUAAGCCCACAGUCAUCCAUAAUACCUCUAUAGAAACUGAUGUUUAGAAAUAUAUAUGUUUGGACAAGCCCCAGACAAUAGACAAACCAUGUCAAAAUAAGACUAAGUCUAGAGAUAGGGGAUCAAGAAUGAAUGUCUUUCAAAAUAAGGAAGCUUACCUCUCCAUAGUCAAUGCUUGAACUUCUUCGAUCACCUAAUCACUACACAGGAAGGGACUCUAACCUCAAGCCAUUUUAUUGGGUAAGGGACUCCAACCUCAAGCUAUUUCAUAAGGCAAGGGACUUCAACCUCAAGCCAUUACAACUAUCAUUAGUUGAUAUUGCGACUUUAAACCUUUGACCAUGCAUCAAUAUUUAUUUCAUACAAUACUAAAGGACUUUAACCAUAUAGCUAAUUCAACACUAUACAUGACCCCAUGGUUUUUAUGGGAGCCUUCAUUGCUCAACUAUUUCAAUAGGCCAUUGACUCCAUUCGAUCCACCAUACAACUCAAGUUAUGGUCAUCAAUACCUUCACAACUAUUCAUAUUUCAUUAACCCUCUUAUACCAAAUUCUCACCUCACUUGGUUUAACACACAAUUUAAAUACAUUAUCAUGUUUAGGGAUUUCAACCCCUUAUUAGUCAAUUAACUCAACAUGGUCAUAAAUUAUACAAUACAUAGCUAACAAUAUUUUUAACACACCAUUCAUCAAUCAUUCAUGUUUAUUUGGCCAUUUCCCUAGUUUAAAACAUCAUCAAUAUGUGACUAGACAAUUCACUUAGACAUUUUCACAAAUACGUUAUGUGCAUACCUCUAACAAGGCUUUUUUCAUGGUAGAAAUGAUCAAGGUUAGGGUUAAUCAAUACCCUCUUGUUAAACAUCAUGAAAAAAACACACACAUAUGUAAAUAAUCAUCAUUAACAUGUAUAAUCAUGGGUCUAAGAAAGAGAACAUUAUUCAUCAUUAGGCAACAAAACCCUUUUCAUUUAAUUUCAAAAUCACCAUGUACACUUACUAAUCCAAGUGUAAAAUAUGUAGGCUUAGAUUUAUUUAACAUGGGGAAGAGUUACAUGACUUAGACAACUUAAUUCAACCAAGAAACUUGACUUCACUUUGCUCCUAGAUGGACACUCUUGAACUCUAGCCUCCAAUCCUUUAUAAAUUGUGUUUGAGUGAGAGUUUUGGAUAUUUGAUCCACUCAAAGUGUGUUUAAGGAGGACUUAUACGCUUAUAUAGUGAAGGGAAUUAGGUUUUAAGGCGUGAGAAAUGACCACAAGGACCUUAGUUAAAAGAUGUAAAAUGAACCCAUUCAGGGGUACGACUCACCUUUUAAACCAUACCUUAGGGUACGAGUGGUACCCUGACUCGUACCCUAGGAUUAUCCUAGGUCACCCUCACUAUUAAGGGUACAAUCAUACACCCUUUAGUUUUAUCCAAAGGUAUGAAUCAACCCCUAACUUGUAUACACCACCCGCACCCAAAAUAGUCCACUCAAACUAGGACCUCCCUUUUUACGAUCAUGUUGGGUACGACUCGCAUACUUUGGGUAUGAUUGAGGAUGGGGGUCACUCAUACCUGGGACAAUUAUUAACCUUAACCACACUUCCUAAGGUAUGAAAUGGGAAGAAAAAGAGGAUACUACUCGUAUCCAAGGGGUAUGAGUCGUGCCCCUAGUCGUACCCAUCCAGUGAUAUCAAAUGGAGAGUUUCUUUCAAUGGUUCAAAGUCUAAGUAUUUCAUUGACCUAGUAUUUACAUAUUUGAUUUUUAUAUUCUUGGUGGAAAUUGUCUAAGUUGAUAUUUACGUAGUAUAACUGGAAUAUUAUUAUAUAUCUUGCUCUAAUGACAGGUAGAUUAUAUUGGAUAAUGGAUGGUUGGCUUAUUAAGUAGAUUUUUGGUUCACGUGGUUAGGAUAUUGAUUGGAUUUAGAAACUAUAAUUUUGGUUAGUUAUGAGCAUUGCAUCCUUAUAUCAUAUACAUUCAUGUAACAUUGAUACCAUCAUAGAAAUAUCAAUUUUCUGACAGAAAAUGUGACAUCUUUAUAAACCCUCUACCGAUGUAUGUGCUGAAGAAGAGUUAUGGUUACUGGAUUUUUGUUGGUAAUUAGAUUGUAUAUGAAUUGAUGAACCUACCAUGGGUCUUACCUUGGGAUCAUAGCUCGGAUGUGCUAUGAUUUCAUGGAACUUUCGAUACUUAAAACAAGGAAAAUAUACAAGUACUUAGGGAUGUUGCUAGAUGUGAUAUUUUUUAUGUUGGUUUUGUAGGAAAAUAGAGUUUGGAGAAGAAAACAAGCAAAAGGGAUGAAGCAGAGCAAAAACCCCUACCUACGAGCCUAUCCACGAGUAGUAGGUAGUACCUACGAGCCUGUAAGUGACCCAUGUAGGUUGAGUUCUAUGAAUUCUACAAGUUGGUGAUUGUUUCCGAUUCCUACGUACCCUACCUAAAGUUUUCUCUAAUUUUGAUGAACUUACCUAGGGCCCAUAGGUACUACCUAUGACUCGUAAGUGGAGUCGUAGGUUGGUAACGGCCUUAUUUUUCUACUUUAUUUUGGAUAGAUUUUCUGAUGUAACUAUAAAUACCCGUUUAAUGUUUUAUUAUUAGUUUACGCACUUUACAUACUUAUUACAUUAUUUAGAGUUCUAAGAUACACUUUUUAAUCGUGAUAUUUUUGAUAUUGGUUUUUAGGGUUUGAUAUAAAGAUGAAAUUUUGGUUUUCAUUCUUAAUUAUUUAUGAUAUCAUUCAUAUGCUUUUAAUUAUGAAUUAUAUAUGUGUUCUUACGAUCAUGAGCAGCUAAACCCGAUAAAUAGGAUUUUGGGAACCUUGAUGGAUUAACAAAGUAGAUAAAGUGUAAAGUCAUUCUUGAUUGUUAUUUGUUAAUAUAUUGUUGUUUCGUUCAUAUUGAUUGCUUUCUUGAAAAUUGCAGACAUUAAGAACCUGUCUGUAUUCAAUACUAACUAAGGAGAGAGGUUGAGAUUAGGAAAAAAGAUCACGACAGUAAUUUAAAACUACCAAUCUUUAUCUAAUUAACUUGAGACCGAGAGGAGAUAGUUAAUUUAGGAUCUAGGACAAGGGUUAGUAAUGUGACACUCUGAGACUGAGAGGAGAUAGAUAAAAUUCACCUAAACCAAGGUUGAGAAAUGGUUAGGUGAUACAUAACUUGCUGGAUUCUGCAUACAAGGCACCAAGAUAGUUUGAUGAGCAUGAUAAGUCAGCAGAGAUAAAAAGUUAGGGGGAACACAAUCCUAGUAAUUAUCUUAUACAGGUAACAACCCUAUUUGCCAUAAAUUGCUGCUAUUACUACUGUCCUUACAAAUCCUUUCCCCCAUUUACUUUCUACACUUUCUAGCUACAAUAACAAUCUUCUAACUUUAUUUUCGU
rnacentral:lncRNA from 1 species